rnacentral:lncRNA from 1 species
CUUACUUGAACAGGAUCUGUUCUAUAGGCUCGUACCUCUGUAUCCUUGAUUUCUAAGGAGACAGGUGACCAAGUCUGGUGGAUGAACCAUGACUGCAGGACCAGAGCGUGAUUAAUAGCUCCAUGGCCCUUGGACCAUUCGAGCAGUAGAGGAUCGUUCUCAGUCAAGGCCUCUUGGCUGGGGUGGUCCUGCAGUUGUCUGACAGACUCCUCCUCCUCCCCUUUUUUGGACUACUGGCUUCACUUUUUAAUGUAUUGCAGAUCAAUAAUCUAAUGCAUUUUGGUUUCCACCGAUAAGCUUCAUACAAAGGAUAGGUUGGUUUGCUUGAAGAGAAUCAUUUUUAUGAUCAAAUCCGAAUCAUGAAAGAACAUGCUCCAUGAAAAGAUUCAGAAGAAUAAGUGAAUUGGAUAACCCAUUGUUAGUUUUAGACAUUGCUUGACUCUUACUAUAGGAAACUAAUUAAACCAGAAAGAAGUUUCUUAUGUUGUCAAACACAUAGAACUCUGUUGGUCAAACUCAAUAAAGUGUUGUAUAUUAAGCUUCUGCCCCGAGCUAAGCCUAAGUUGGUUUGCUCUGCCAAUUGGCUGGGGUGGUCCUGCACUUGUCUGACAGACUUCCUCCUCCUCCCUCUUAUAAUCCCCCCUUUUUUGGUAACUUUGAGAACGAUAACAGAAUAUUAAUACUAAAUUUGAAGAUACUUUCAUUUUACACUAAUAUAAAAUAUGGAACAUACGGACUACUUCACUAAAACUCAAACAAAGCUAUUCUGUAUUGCAGGACUUAGUGCCCGGGCUUGAACCCCUGAGGUUUAACAAGGAUAUACCAAUUAGUGCUGAUAUGGGAACUUUAAUACAACUUUCAGAGACAAUAUCCAACACAAGAACUGUUUCAGCCAUUAUCUGGAAUUCUGAUAUAAUGGCUCAACCCUCCUCCGCUAGCCUAAUAGAAGCCGACCAAAAUUGUAUUGCAUGGCUGAACCAGCAGGCUCCAAACUCAGUCAUAUAUAUUAGUGUAGGGAGUUUAGCAACCAUGGACCAAAAAGACCUAGCUGAGAUGGCUUGGGGGCUAGCCAGCAGUGACCAGCCAUUUUUGUGGGUUGUUAGACCUCCAUGACUCAGAAGGGUAUGAUUUAUUACCACAAGGUUUUUUAGAAACAAUUGGAGGAAAAGGGUGCAUUGUAAAAUGGGCACCUCAAAGGGAAGUUUUGAAACAUGUUGCAUUUGGGGGGUGGGGGGGUGUUUGGAGCCAUUGCAGUUGGAAUUCGAGUUUGGAAAGUAUUAGUGCAGGGGUUCCAAUUAUUAUUUCAUGUGACCCUUAUUUACUGACAAGGAAUUGAAAGUGUUACAUAAUACUUUAAUUAACAAUGUUUCGAAUUGUACAUAUGUUGGAUCUUCCAUUUAUUUUCCUUUUCACAAAUUUAUUUCCAACUCAAAAACAUUGCCCUUCUCUUCAUUACUCGUGUAUACAAUGUAUAAAACUUUAAUUCAUAAAAAAAAAUUAAAAUUAAAAUACCACAACAAUUCCAAAAUAAAAAUCUCAUUCUAUAUAUCCCCAUUCUAUUCUGUUUGUUUUAAAUUAUUUAUAGUAUUUUAUUCUUAUGUAAUUUAUUUAUCAUUUAUUUUUAUUUUUACGGGAAGGAAUCAUUUUCAGAUAACUACACAAACAUAUUAAGCUGAGUUGAUUUUCCUUCCCCACCUGAAAUCAAAAAGAAAAGGGGUGUCCAAAUGUAAAUUUGUAUAUGAUUAUAUGUUUUGAAAAGAUUUUCCAAUAAAAAAGAUAAAGCUUAAAAGCUAAAUCUCAACUCAUAAAGACAAUUAAGUUGUAAGUCGUCUCUUACAAAAUAAUGUUGCUUUUGAGAUUUGGUGCAGAUUCAGAUGAUAAUAGCAUGCAUGUUUAAUCAUCUUUUCAUCCUCCAAGCAGCUAGAAAUAACCCUUUUACUAAUUGUAGUUCAUAAUUCAGGUACUUUGUACUGCUACUUUAUAAUUUGUCAUUCUUGAGGAAUGAUCAAUGCAUUAAUUCCUAAAUAUAUGAUCAGUAAUAUGGACUACGUUUGUCUCAAUUAAGUAGAGAGUUUGCAUAUUUAUACCUCAACUGAGUUUGCAUAUCUAUGAUCAGUAACGAUCGAAGACGGUUGGGGGAAUUGAUAAAUAUUUUAUAUUUUAAAGGAUAUUUUUGACGGAAUAUCCGUCGUACUUAAAUCCGUCGAAUUUAUGUUAUCCUCGACGGAUAGUCCAUCGAAGAUAAUAUUCAUUCCGUCGAAAAAAAGUUGGCGCUGGCGGGAACAUUGGUGCCAAAAUACUGCUUACAUUUCCGACGGAAUUUCGUCGGAAUUACAUUAGUACUAUUGACGGAAUUGAUGUCGACGGAAAAUUUCAUCGAAAUUAAAUUAUGUUCGACGAAAUUAAAUUAUGUUCGGAUGUCCAAGGAGAUUGUUACAAUGGGUUUGGUUGUGCCUUUUAUGGGGAGUUGGAGGAAAUCAUAGAGUUGUCAUACAAGGGCAUUUACGGGAGUCACAUUAACUUGUUCAAGUGUCGUUGGUUUGAUAUAGAAAAAGGGAUACAUGUCGAUCGGCAUGGAAUCGUGGAUAUUGACCUUCAUAGGUCCACGUACGCCAACGAACUAUUUGUGUUACCAACUCAAACAGUACAAGUAUACUACAUUCCUAGUCCUAUUAGGAAAAGGGAUAGACUGCCUGCAGAUUGGCAAGUUGUAAUUCAUACUCUCGCGCGCAUGCAGUCGUGUACAAUUAGUAGACGGGGAGUUCUACCAAGAGUAGAUGCUUCAUAGACCUACACCAAUAAAUGUGGAGGACGACACUGAAGUAAUACAGUUAGAGGAUGGAGAUGAACCUAAUGAAUAAUUGGAUCCUAAGUCAGUAUACGUGCCAAAUGACAUUGAUACUAAGGAAGAAGAGUUACUGACUGACACUGACACUGAAUCUGAAGAAGAUGAUGGUUAUGAAUCUCCAAACCGUAUACAAGAUGAUUCUGACUAAAAAAAUAGAAUGUAUGUUUAGUAUUACUUGUAGUACAUCCAAUUAUACAUAUACAUGUUUUUCAUAUCAUUGUCGUGGUUAUGUGUCACGCCCCCAAAUCUGGGUCCCUUGAACCUCGAACCUGGUAUGUCAUGGUACUACCUUCAUUCCAAUAUAUAUAACAUUUGUUCAUAAAGAAAUGAACACAACCUGGCUUCUAUACCAAUUAAUACAUUAUUCCCUUCUAUUCCAGAAUAUGUAACCUUUACAAUCGGUUAUUACAUCUGUAGAUCGUUCAUGAUCUAUCUAUACAUCUUAAACUAUAAACAAUAUGUUUCAUAAUGAGAUAUUAACUUGCGAGUAUUCAUUAACUCUCAAUUCAAAAUUUAAAAUAUUCUUUUGUGUAGUGUAUUUCAACUCAACAUCUACAAUAUAUAAUAUUAACGUUCAUCUAGCUUAGUUGAAAACUUCGCAAUCAACUGUUUUGGCAUAACGUUUUACUGUGUAUAAUUACUCUAAAGAAAUUACACCAAUGCGUUAGUGUAUUAUUAAAACACCAACAAUCUUCAAUCACUAUUUCUUUUCGUGAUCCUUCGUCUAUUAUGAAGUCUUUGACGCUCUGUUCAUCUGUUUAUAUCGACUUUUAUCUACUCCCUCUGUCCCAGGAUAAAAGUCCUUAUUACUAUUUUGGGUAGUCCCAUGUUAAAUGUCCACUUUCCUUUAAUAACCAAACUUUUACACAUUUUUUCCUAUUAUGCCCGUAACAUUAAAUAUCUCAUAUUUUUCUUAUUCUAAUUCUCUCUCCAUAUUUAAUGACAUUAUUAUGGAUAAUUUUGUCAUCUUAUUCCUCUUCUUAAUAUGCGUGAAAAGUCCACCAGGACUUUUAUCCUGGGACGGAGGGAGUACAAAAUUUAUUUGCAAGGUUGAGCACGGCGACUCAGAAAGUCCAACAGUUUACACAUUUCAUGCUUCAUAUAGCAUACAAAUUUCAUAUAUUCUCAUGCAUCAAAAAUUUUAGUCAAUGCAUCUACACAUGCUUCAUGCAUCUCUAUAUGCAUCAUACAUUUCAUGAUAUGCAUUUUUAUAUGCAUCAUACUUAUCAUACAAUACAAUAUAAUCUUCAUAUUGUAUAUUUAACCCAUACUUCACAAAUUUCUUGCUUUGCAUUUAGUCACACAACAUUCAUGUACUCAACUAUUUCACAUAAAGAAACAUAUAUCAUUAACUACCAUAAACAUGGUUUAAUACACAUUAUCACAAGGUUAAAUGCAAAGUCGACCACUAAACUUUUGUGAUAUUUGGGUAUUGAGCCCCUUUCUUUCGCUCAACGCAAAUUGAGCCUCUUUCUAUUCAAAAAGUUAGACUUUGAACACCCAGGCGCCACAUGUGCGUUGACCUGUGUGACAGAUCUAACAUGGUAUUUUAUAUUGUAAUUUUACAUGUAAGCGCAUUGAUGACGUGGCUUCCUUUGAUUUUUUUCUAAAAAAUUUGUCUUUGCACAUAUUUGAACCCACAAUCUCAUAUUUGGAACUUUAGUCAUAUGACCACUGGACCAACACAUAUCAACUAUUAAUAUUUUGCAAAAAGUAAUAUUUAUAUCAAAACAUGAGAUUUUUCCCAUAUAUUCCUUUCUUCUCAUUCACUAUAUACCAUUAAUAGUAACUGUUAAUAUUUAUAUUUGUAGAACUAACCAUGUCAACUGUUAUUAUUAUUAUUAUUAUUAUUAUUAUUAUUAUAUGGACGUGGUUCUUAUGUUCUUUUAAUGUACAAAUUUUAUAGUGCAAUUGUCAUGUAUAUUUCUUUAUAAUUAUUUAUUUAUUUAUGUAAUAUAUUUUUAAUUAUUUACAUUCUUCUUCUGCCUUCAAUAUUUUAGCCUAAUCUAUAUAGUCUUAAUUCUCCGUAUAAUUGUUAAAUUGGAAAUUUGGAAACCAUCAUCACAAAUUAAUUACGAAUCCAAUUCAUGAGAUAUAACCCCCUCAGAAAUUAACCAUAACCUAAUUACAAAGAGGUAAACAAAAGAUCAAUCCGUUCAUAAAAUCUUGAUACAUAAGUAUAAUAUAGAUAAAGCCACUAGAUCUGGUUAAAGUUGAACUCAUUGUCUACAAACAAGAAAGUAAUGAUAAGAGGAUAUUGAAAGUUGAACUCAUUGUCUCCCACAUUUGCUAAUGACAUUUAACUUAAUUUUUUAUUCUUGAAACCAUUUUCAUAAUAUAAAGGACUUCUAAAAAAUAUCUCCCUCUCUCUACAGCUCAUAACUGUUAAUAUUUAUAUUUGUAUUACUAAUAAUAAUAAUAACAAUAAUAAUAAUAAUAAUAACAAUAACAAAUUUAAUAAUAAUAAUAAUAAUAAUAAUAAAAUAGUGAUAAUAAUAACAAUAAAAAUAACAAUAGUAAUAAUAAUAACAAUAGUAAUAAUAACAAUAACAAAUUUAAUAAUAAUAAAAAAAUAAAAAUAAUAAUAAUAACAAUAAAAAAAGAAUAGUAAUAAUAAUAACAAUAAAAAAAAAAUAACAACAACAAUAAUAAUAAAAAUAAAAUAAAUAAAAUAAUAAUAAUAAUAAUAAUAAUAGUACUAAUAACAAUAAUAAUAAUAAUAAUAACAAUAACAAUAAAAAUAAUAAUAAUAGUACUAAUAAUAAUAAUAAUAAUAAUAAUAACAAUAACAAUAACAAUAACAAAUUUAAUAAUAAUAAUAAUAAUAAUAAUAAUAAUAAUAAUAAAAAUAAUAAUAAUAAAAAUAAAAAUAAAAAUAAAAAUAAAAAUAAAAUAAAAUAGUAAUAAUAAAAACAAUAACAAUAACAAUAAUAAUAAUAAUAACAAUAAUAAAAAUUAAAAAAAUAAAAAAAUAAAAAAAUUAAAAUAAAAUAAUAAUAAUAAUAAUAAUAACAAUAAUAAUAAUAAUAACAAAUUUUUAUUAUUAUUAUUAUUAUUAUUAUUAUUGUUAUUAGUACUAUUAUUAUAACUUGAAUUUAGCCAUGUAAACUCCUCAACAUUCUGAACCUCUUGUAGCUUUGCCUGGUGGGUUUACCAAAAACCACAUCCUCAUUGCAGCAUAAUUGAGCCUAUCGGUGACAAUGUGGAAAACAUGGUUUGAAGGAUCCUGCAAGGGAUAACACAUUAUGAUAUUAACAAAAAUAAAAUUUCGUUAAAAUUAUUAUUAUUAUUAUUAAAUUUGUUAUUGUUAUUGUUAUUAUUAUUAUUAUUAUUAUUAUUAUUAUUAUUAUUAUUAUUAUUAUUAUUAUUGUUAUUGUUUUUGUUAUUAUUAUUAGUACUACAAAUAUAAAUAUUAACAGUUAUGGUACGUAGUGAAUGAGAAGAAAGGAAUAUAUGGCUAAAGUUAUUAAUUCUUGAUAUAAAUAUUAAUUCUUGCAAAAUAUUAAUAGUUAACAUGUGUUGGUCCAGUGGUCAUAUGACUAAAGUUCCAAAUGUGAGGUUGCGAGUUUAAAUCCAUGUAAAGGCAUUUUUUUUGAAAAAAAUCAAAGGAAGCCAUGUCAGCAAUGCUUACAUGUAAAAUUAUAAUAUAAAAUACCAUGUCAGAUCUGCCACGAGUGCUACGUCAGCAGGUCAACGCACAUGUGGCGCUUGGGGGUUCAAAGUCAAAAUUUUUGAAUAGAAAAGGACUCAGUUUGCGUUGAUCGGAAGAAAGGGGCUCAAUACCCAAAUAUCACAAAAGUUCAGUGGUUGACUUUGCAUUUAACCCCAUUAUCACAUAAGAGCAAGUUACUGAAGAACUUGCCUCAAAGCGUUCCUUGCGCGAUUAGAAAAUUUUUUCCUUCCAUUGACCUACACAAUUAAGUGCGUAUACAAAUACAAUUAGUAACAUAACGACAUUUAUUAGUUAUUUAUGCUAGCUCUACUCUACCUUUCAUUAUUUUCCCUUUUUAAAUCUUGAUACACAAUGCUCAAUCAUGUGUUCAAGUCUUUCUAGGACACUAUAUUAUCCAUUCGGUUAUUACAUUAAACUUCAUUUUACAUCUUAUUACGUUUCCUCUUUCUUUAAUUACACUUAACAUAUAAACUCAAGUUCUGAAGAACUCGCAUGCACCGACGUUUUAUCAUCUACAUCAUCUUCAUUCAUAAUUUACUUCAGAUGAUAACUCACAGCAUCGAUGAACAUCUAUUUGAUUAAGUAAUUAAUUAUCAUCUCGCAACUUAACCUGAUAGUUGCCCUUCGAAAAUAUGUGAUUAAACUUUUCAUUUCGCUGAAAGCCUAAUACUCUCAUUUAAGCCUUCUUAACCAUUUUAUCAUUCAUCUUAAAUUCUUGUCUAAUAUUAGUAAUCAUUUAAUAAUAUUUUAUUCCUUUACUAAUACUAUUAAUCAUUUAAUAAUACUUUAUUUCUUUACUAAUAUUAUUAAUCAUUUAAUAAUAUUUUAAUCACUUUCUAAUGUUAUUAAUCAUUUAAUAAUAUUUUAUCCAUUUAUAAACUUAUAAACAAUUUUAAUUUAAUUGUUUAUCUCUUACUAUUUAAUUCAUUUAACAAACAUAUCAAACUCUUCAUAUAACAUUUUAUCAAAAUAACCAAAUUACCCUUAUAUAGUCUUAAUAUAACAUAUUAAUGAUCAUUAGUCACUAAAAUCAUAUUAACAAAUUUUAGGACUUAAUAUAAUCUAAUUUUCUCAAUUAUUCAUAACUUAAUCAUAAGCAUGAAAAAUAUCAAAUCAUCUUAUUAUUUUUUUUAUCUUUUGGUCACACAUAUAAACAUAUAUUCUAUACACAAAUAUAAUUUUUCUGGAAUUUUUUCAUUUCCUUUAGUAUUUUUCAAAAGUCCGUUUUUAGUUCGUAACUUAAGAAAAUUAUCUACAUCAUUCUCAACUCCAAAAAUUCUCAAAUCUUGGCAGAAUCUUACAUGAACUUCCAGUUUAAAUUUUGUGACCAUCGGAGUUAUAGAACUCCAGUUAUAGCCGUUUUCGUCGAAAACAUCCAAAUAUUGAAAUUGUCAUAACUCGAUCGAUAUAAGUCGGAAUAAGCUCAUAUUUGGAUAUGAGCUACUUUAUAUCAUAUAUUUUCAUGUCAAAAAAGGCAGGAAUUUAUUUCAAUAAUUAAAUUGCCUAAUAUGCCCCUUCAAAUUUUUGGACAGUUUGUUUUUCGAUAUUUCCUGAUUUUGCCUACUUUGCCAAAAACAGUUCAUACAAAAAUCUACAGCACCUUUUUCAGUGAUUCUACUUGGAGAUGUUAGAAGACUCAUAGAUCUAACUCUAGAACUUGACCACACUCAAAAAUUCGAAAUAGAAUGAGAGAUAUGAUUGUUUGAAUUUCAUGCUUCGUUUUCUCGAAAAUCUGAUUUUUUUAACCUUUAUGUUUUGUAAGAAAACUUCUAUGAUCUCUUGAUUAAUCAAACAUUAAUCAACAUAAUACAUCUUAAUACAUCCUAAUACCUCUUAUACUCAUGGAUCCACCAUGAUCCAUGAUCUAUUUCAUCAAACUCCCAUAAACACAAGAUUAACAACUAUAAACAUAGUUUUAGAGUUAGAGUUUAAUACCUUUAGGUUUUUUUUCCUCUUCUUUCAUCUUCUUCUCCUCUCUUCUUUUUCUCCAUCAAUGGCAGCAUUCUCCAUCUUCUUCUCUCUCUAUUUGGUCAGGUAUUCUAGGGAAAAUGAGAGGAAAUAUUUCUCUUUAUUUGCCUUUUCCUUUAGUUAAAAGAAUAAACAUUUAGGAAAGAGAUAGUGGCUAGGAUUAGGUGAGAGUUGGUGAGGAGUGGGUGAGGUUAGGUGGCUGCCCAUGUGAUGGAAUCUCCAGCUAUUUUAAGUCAUGUGGGUCUCAUUUUUAUUUUCUCAUUUUGCGUGGUUAAUCCCGUAUUUGACUUUCGGACCAAAAAAAUCAAAUUUUUGAGUUUAUAGUCGAUUCCUACUAAAUUUGACGCUCCCAACGUCAUGGGCACAUCCAUUUCCUGAAAUUCAUCUCCUAAGUUUAAGUUUGAUUUUUCUCCAUAAAAGUCAAAUGUUGACUUUGACUAAAAAGUCAACCUCGACACAUUUCGUGUUUAGAGUCUAUUCUUACUAAUUUCGACGUUCCAGAUUCAAAUAUCUCGUCCACGUAUGCAAAUUCCACUCCUAACUCUGAUUUUGACUUUUCUUCAUAAAAGUCAACUGUUGACUUUGACAAAAAAAAUCCACCCUGACACAUUUACAUGGCGUUCCGGACGCAACCGAGUAGUUCGUGCUUCAAAAUUCUAUCUCUAACUCAAAUUUUGAGUUUUAACUUGCUUUUAGAAAUUCCUCCCAAGUUUGGGCUAUCCAAUAAAUUGUUUGGGACAUGUCUCAUAAAUUUUACAUUUCCUUAAUUAUUCAAUUAGGGUUUUUAGUCCACUUACUUUGGACUUUAAAUAAUUACUCCUUCAAUCAUGCACAUCCUCUUCAUUAGUCAUAAGUAUUCACUUCAUUGAUAAAUAAUUAAUAUUCUUUUAUAUUAGGCUAGACAUUUAAUUCAACGUCUAUUAAAACAUCUUUAAUUAGUUUGCUACAUUCAAUAAGCCUUUUCAAAUGGCUUGACAUAAUGAAUUUUAUUAAUCCAACUUUUCAAUAUCUUUUGGUCAUAUUCUUAAAUUUAGAAUAUCAUAUUAAUAAUGUAUGUCAUCCUUACAAGUCCUCUUAAUAAUCAAAUAUUUAGGCUUGUUUACUUUGAUCAUAUAGUUUGCCAUAUAUAUUAUUUUGACUUGUCAUAUUCUUAAUCCCUUAAUAAUAUCUUACUCUUCAACUUUUCUAUCGUUUCUAUUUAAUUCUCUUUACAGUCUUUCAGAUAUUAAAGCAUAUAGGUUUUUCUUAAAAAAAAUAAUCAUUCCUCUACUUUCAAUGUAGUUUUUAUUCUUUAAACCUUUAUUUAUUUAUUCGAGAUCUUAUUUAUAAGUCUCAUAAAUUUUUGAGUUAUCACAUUAUGCAUCUUUCAUUUAACUUGUACAUAUAUACUUGUACAUUAUGUAUAUUUCAUUUAUUACUAUGUUGUAGUUAACUAUUUCAUACCAUUACAUGUAAUUAUUAUCAUUUUAUUUGUAUAUGUUGUGAUGCCCCCAAAAUAGGUAUAUAACACCCAUUCUAAGUCGCCAAAUACAUGGUACAGAAAGCAAACUACAACUUCAAUAAUACAAUUGUCGUGGAAAAUACGACAACACAUAUUGUGAGUUUAAAUACAAAUAUUGUCUUCUAGACAAUAUCCACACUCAAAUAAGUCAUCGCUACAAUUAUUCAAACACUAUUUUAUAGAAAUAGUGAGGACUGCUAAAACAUCUUUCUAGAACCAUCACUCCGUACCCCGACUAGUUCCUGCUAUGUUCUCACCUCCUGAGAAAAAUGGAACAAAAAGGAAAAGGGUGAGCUCAACUAGCCCAGUAAAGAAUAUUAUGACUAAGAUAAUAUACAACAAAUUAUCGUUAGUCUUCAACAGGGAAAAAUCUGAUAAAAUAUAAUAGCCAACAAGUUUUAGAUCAACAACUGCAGCGGAAACAACAAUCCAUUAGAAGAGUCAAGUAGAGAAUGAGUUCUACUAUCUUCUAAGAUUUAAAAGUCCAUCAUCAAUAUUUUAUCCCUGUAACAACAAUCAAUAUACAUCUUUAAUCAAAUAUUCAUCUUUGCACUACAGGCCAAAGAUAUUCAUUUGUAUCACCAGUUGGUCAUGUUCAUCUCAACACCUGUUCAUCUUUGCACUACGGGCCAAAGAUAUUCAUCAGUUAAUCAUUUAUCUUUGCACUACAGGCCGAAGAUAUUUAGUAAUAUCAUCAUUUAGGACUGAGGAUGAUGAAAAAUAUUUUAAAGAAAACGAAUCCAGUGAAACGGAAGGACAAAUAGUAGGGAUUCGUAUAACAGUUUAUCCAAGAUCAAUAAUACUUCAUAAAUACCAAUUUUGAAGCAGAAUUCAAAAAUAAAGAUCAAAACAUGGAUACAAUCAAAGAUAGUAACCAUAAUAGACAUCUUGGACAAAAAGAAGAAAAUUUCAUUUUUCGGUGAAUAGUGCCGUAUUCGUGAAUAGUGCCGUAUACGUGAAUAGUGCCGUAUACGUGAAUAGUAACCCCGACACAAAAAGUUCCAAAUUUGAUAAAAAUUCAGAUCAAUACUUCGGCAUAAUGAUAUUGAAGAAAUAAUAUCAUAUAUGAAGAAAAUAACAUCCCUUACCUCAAAAUAUCAGUACUUCUGAUCGGAAUAUCGGUAUAAGGCUGAAGGAAACUUGCACUGAUGAAUAGAAACUCACAAAGUAUCUAAAUACUCACAAAAUACACUCAAUAAUCUAGAGAGAGAAAGAGAGAAAACUUGUUUCUGGUGUGAUUUUCAAUUCUAACUUAGCCCUCUAUUUAUAGGAAAAUGUUAGCAGACUUGACCUGCAACCUGAUGGCUUUACCUGCUACUAUUCCCACCCACCACAUUUGAAAUAAAUUCAGCACAUUUCUUCACCAACCACAAGUGGGGCCCACUCAAUUCUAGAAUUUUCCACCAAAAUCAUUUAUAAACCUAAUUUCUGAAUCAGUCACCUCUUAAAAUUCAUAACAAAUCAUACGUUCAUUUUUAACGGUUCAAAAUUUGUGGACAUAUACUCAACUUAUAUAUGUAUAACAUAUCCAAAAAUUACAACGAUCCAACGGUCGGAUUAAAAAUUAUAACUCACACAAUAUAUCUCAAAAACACUGGUUUAAUUUUUAAUACCUUCAUUCCGACAAAAAUACUGAUAAAACACCUCAACAUUAACUCCUUCAUUUUUAACCACAAUAAAUAUAUCCAACAUUUAUAUCCACAUAAAAUAAAUAUUUCCUUAUCAUAUGAAUCAAUAAUUAAUUAUUCACAAAUAAUAUUACAGAAUCACAUUUAUGACAACCAGGCCGUUCCCAGGAAAGAGGGGGCUUUCCAAUAAGAAUUUCUCCUUAUUGGCGCGCAAUUAGGUGACCAAACCUCUCCUUGACAGAACUUUCUAGACAUUGCCAAUAAUGCUAUCUAAUAAUAUUAUUCAAAUAAUAUGAAUUAUUGAUCUGAUAAUGGGAAAUACUGUGCAGUGACAAUUAUUGAAACAACAAUAAUAUAAAAUAUCAACGCAGCAAUUAUUGAAUCAAUAAAAUAAAAUAUUGAACAGUAACUACUGUAACAAUUAUUGAGUAGUGCCUUCUUACGUAAGGAUCAAUAAUUCAUCAAUACUGUGCAUCCACGCGUAUUACUGUAUUUUAACCACCGGGUAUUCCAACAGUGUUAACGGUAACAACUACGCCGUUAUUUAUAAAAACUCAAACUUGUCGUUUUCUUCAUCCGACAGUUAUUCUGUUAUGGGGCCCACAAAUGACUGCGCCGUCGUACGAAUAUUCCCCGACAACAAGAAUAUUCCACGACCAAACGAAUAUUCCCCAACACAAUGAUUAUUUUAUAACCACUUGCAUAUUUUGUAAAAUUUGCACAUUUCACCCAUAACCAGAGAAUUAUAUCAAAUUAAUACCUUAUUAUUCACAAAUAUAAUUAAAGAAAAUUCAAUUUUAUUUAUAAUAAGUUGGGGUCUUACAUAUGUACUCAAAUAUAUCACCGUAUUAACAUCAUGAAAUUUAUUUUUACAGAUGACUUUUGAACCAGCUGCAAGAAAGUGCGGCUUGGGUAGGGGUCCUAAUCACGUGCCGAAGGCCCCGACAAAUCUAGAUGAGCAGAUUCUUAUACAUAUCCGUCCUCCUCCAGACAACAUGUAUGUUAAAUAUUUAUAUGUCAACAUUUUAUAUUUCAAUUGUUUAAGAUAUAUACAAGAUAUAUACUAAUGUAACUUGCUUAAAAUAUUAUAAUCAAAUGUCUGUAUUUAAUGUAAAUUGGUGUAUAUUGUAAUGACUUUUGUGAUGAAAAAAUUGUGAAGUGCAUUCCACAAUUAUGCUUACAGAACUGGCCUACGCCAGUGAUUACGUGGGCGAGCACACCUAGCGCCCACGAGGAUGUUGUUUGGGCUGAAUUUCAGAUAUACUUUUUUGUUAAUGAUGAUCACAAUAUAAUUAAUAAAUUUUUAUUGAUCAGUAGUGUUCGAUUAUGUUAAUAUCAUCGUUUUAAUAUUAUUAAUGCUUGUUUUAUUUGCAGAAGAGAUAUAGAUGGGACGACGCAUAUGCAUCUGUUAUUCAGACACUAUUCAAGCAGAAGUGCGUCGUCCGAACCAAAGACAAUCUAAAUAAUGAAAGACAAAAAGUCCUUCAUAAUGCAGGGAUUGACCAUCCAGGACAGGGUGAGGAGUACAUGCAUGAGCAUAGCCCCUGGUGGUGCACACAAAACAUAUGGGAUGAUAUGUGUGCCCAGUGGAGAGCUGAGGGCUGGGUCAAGAGACGGAAGACUGCCUCCGCGAACAGAUCCUCAGGUGUACCUACGGGCGAAAAUACAAAAAGGACUAUAAGGGCGACAAUAUAUCACAGGUGCAGCACAUUACUGCCAGGGUACGUAUUAAGUAUAAAGUUUCAGUUUUAGUUUUAGUACAUCACACAUGUUUACUUGUUAAUAUAUGAGCAUAUUAAUUUUGUAGGAGGUAUCAUCUCAGGGUCAGCCCAUCCAUUGGCUGGAUGUAUAUGUGGCCACCCGCGAUGGUUUGCCUGAGGCUAUCCACAUAGCUGUAUACUUUGAUAUGUUUAUAAAUAUUUACGUCAUUCUAAAACAUUUUAUAUUUAUUGUUAACUAUUUAAUUUCUAACCUGCUGACAUGACACUUAUAAGAACCUACUGAAUGAGAGUUAUCCUGAAGGCACCCCGCGAUCGCCGAUUGAUCAAGAAUUGUGGGAGAGGGUGUCGGUUGUGAAGAAAAAUUAUGUCAACGGCCAAGGACAACGACAACGACGACCGACUACCAAUGGCACUGACAGCUCUGCUAGUCGGUCUACUCAAUCCUCCUGCCAUCUGACGCUGCACACUCCUGCUGACUGUGUGAGAGCAAUAUGUCAGGAUCAGACUCUUCUACUCACACUUGGUGUGCAUCUACAGUCCUGCCUCCUGAGGAGUUAGCAGAUGUAGUGGCGAGAGCAACACAUCAUCAGGAUGAGCCCGAUAUAAUCUUAUGUACUUUAUGUACUUUAGCUUUAUGUAUUACUUUGCAUGUUUAACUUUACAUUCAAUAAUACAUGUUUUAUUCUUUUGUUACAACCCUAUCUAGACGAUAUUGAUAUGUGAAGGCAUUUGUAUUCCUUCUUUGUCUUGUUAAUUGACAUUUGAGUAUACAUUAAUUUUAUCCACUGAAUAAUUAAAUUCAUGUUUAUAUUGUACGUUUUGACAUUUGUAUAUAAAUGUUACUCGGACGGUACUUAUUUAUAUAUAUGAGCACAGUAUAUGUGGAUGUUUAUAUUACUGUAUUGGUUUUAUUAGAUUGUAUAUAACCAUCAAUAUAUAUAUAUAUAUAUCGAUGGAUUUGUAUGGAUGUUGGUUUAUUUAUAUAUAUUGAUGUGUGUUGGGAUAUAAAACAGGUACAAAAUAUAAAAAAACUGAGAAAUCAAAAAAAUAGCCAAAAAAAAUUUUAAAAAUUAAUAAUCAACUCCGCGAUGCCAUCGGUCACUAUUAUGCGGACGCUGAGAAUACGGUCGCUGAUGUCCGCUCAACGACCAUAUUAUGUGCGACCUACAUUAGCGACCGCUUUCGGUCGCUGAUGGCUAUUGGCGACCGUACGCGGUCCUUACACUGUAAGGCGAUCGCAGAAGAGCCUUUUUCUUGUAGUGUUAGCCCAUAUAUACCCACCUAUAACUAUAAUGGCAACUACAAGAAACACAAAAGUAAUUGAAGACUGCCUCUUUUCUGGUGCACCCGUUUUCUUUAAUGAUGAUGAUGAUUUGCAGUUGUUGGAAUAUAUAAACCAAUCUGUAUAUAACUAUUUUUAUUAUUUACUUUUGCGAUGAUCUUGCCUUUCUUUGGUGUUUUUAAUAGUUUGUUUGAUGAUUUGACCAACUGGAUCAAUUAUCCAUUCUUGUUGAAAUGGAAGAAAUAAAAGCUAAAAGGGAACUCCUUUUGGAGCAUGUCACUUGGGAACUUUUCUAUUUUGCGUUCCUGCUAGACUUAGAAUAAACCUCUAGAUUUGUUAGCAUAUGAAUGCGGUCUUCGGGUGGUUGCUUAAGAUAGUUAAAGCAUAUUGUGGGCGGUAAAAAAAGGGUCAAAAUCGAUGGUUAAAGUGCCAUAAAAUGGCAAUAUUUGUACUGCUCAUUCAGCAAAUCCACAAAUCUGAUUAAUUUAAAAUAAUUGAAUGAAUGAAUGAAUUUAAUAAUUCUGUCAAGUGAUAUACAAAUUAUGUUAGUGGUACACAUAUAUACAAGAAACACUCCACAAAGAAUAUUUCAACAAAAAAUAAACUAAAAGUAUGAUCAGAAUAGUUUGUUGCCAAACUCCUCAGUGUCCUGCCCCUUAGCCGCAAGAUCACUUAGCUCCGAAAGGCUCCUUCCAAGCUGCAAAGCCACCUUCAUCUCAAACAACUCUCCAUUUUCUCGUCUUUCGACAUUUUCUUCCUUCAAAUUUGAUUCAAUAGUCUCCUCCAUUAGCCUAAAAAAACCCGCAUUGCCCCGGUACAACUCAACCACCAUCCCAACCUGCCCACCAUGCUCCAUUGUGUUAACCACACUUGCCAAAGCACCUGCAGCCACUCCGACCACCGCUGCCCAAGAACCAUGACAAUUAGACCCAACAAAAGCACUCCCAAUAGCUGCUAGGCACGUUAACAAAGGCCCAGAUAUCGCCAACACUUUGUUAACUUUCAAGGCCUUUUGACCCAACCUCAAAUAAUCAGUCUUAUCAUUUUUUCCCAAAACCCCAACAAUUUCCCUCAUUUCCUCCUCCAAAUUCUCACUCCAUCCAUUCCCACUUCUUCCACCCCCAACCCCAUUCGCCUGUCUACGUUUCAAUGGAGCCCACCACACCGCGGGCUCCACUGCAGUCGGGAAUUUCUCGAGCAUAGCGCCAAGCAGGGGAAGUGGGAGAGCCCUGUCAAGAGCCAACACUUUCUCCAUUGCCUCCUCCACGUCACUCAUUGUGGGACAACCAAUAGCUAUCAAUGUUUGGAUUUGAGAAUGAAGCUGUUUAAACAAUCUGGUAGCGUUUCUUUGCUCUUCAGCCAAUUGGGAUGGUUGGAUUUUGUUCAUAAUUAUUAACAUCCCCGUGACACCUAAAUACAUUAAACUAGAACUGAGCUUUAGUCCCAAAACCGGAGACCCAACAGCACUUGUAGCUGCAAUACCAGCAAUUGUUGCAGCAGCGAGUGUAAUUGCAUUUAUGGAUGUUAAAAGAAGACUAUUCCAGUUAUUUCUCUGCUCGCAUAUAUUCGUAUGCAUCUCGAUUCUAUCCGCAACAGCCUCCAUUAUCGCGUAGAGCUUCGCCAUCACCAUUGGAUCAUCAGAUACGUUAGUAUCCGGAGCUCUAAAAUUUUUGGAUGUAUGUUUUGUAGUAUUGUGACCACUUUUUAGCACCAGUUCUUGAACAAAAUCACUAGGAAUUGGUAGCUUUGGAAGAGAGAGAUUAGGCGUUCGCAGUUUCGGAAUAUUGAUUGUAGCCAUUGAGAUUCCUCUGUUGCUGCCAGAUGAACAAAGGAAGCUUGAAGCUUGAAGGGUUGCCAUAUGUAUAUAUGUAAAUGUUUUUAUGGUCUUUUUGAUUUUUUUAUGGUGCUUUAUAUGGUUCUCGGUAUGUAUAUUGAAGAGAAAAUAUGAUUGAUGUGUUAUUUGGCAAAAAAUAAAAUAAAAAUGAGGUUGAUAUGAAUGAAUGUAUUAGAUGGUUUGGUUGAGAUGGGAUUUAUACAUGUAUAUAUAGGAGGGAUUUGAGAGUUGACUACUAAAUUCUAUAUGGCAUCAGGCUGAAGUGGUCAAGUGUUGAAGGUUUGAAUGUAUGGGGUCUAUUUUUUAUAUUUAUUUGUUUUUAUUCAUAAUAAUAAGAUAUGAGGGUCCUUCAAUACUUACAUUUUACGUAUACGCCUUUAGGUUUAAUAAAUAUUUUUAUGUAUUGGACUCUUUCAAUUCUCAGUCAUAUUCCAAGACAUUGACUUCUCCCACGAGGGAUAUCAGCUAUAAAAAAAUAUUGAAUAUUUACACGCAUAUGUAUAAUUAAAUCCAUAUUCACACUUUUAUAUCAGCUAUAAAAAAAUAAUUUACACGCAUAUGUGAUAUGUAUAUAAUUAAAUCAUACACUCACUACCUUCACUUAAAAAUUUCUCAUAGUUGUUUUUAAUUUUUUUUAAGAGAUAUUAUGAUCUGCAUAGAGCCAUGGGCGGAACCAAGGCCCUGCCAAAAUUCUGUACAGUCUAUAUAUUAAUACAUAUAUUAAUAGUCAAUAACAUACAUAUAUUAAUAGUUAAUAUAAAUAAAUAUAUAUACACACAUAUAUAUACAUAUAUAUGGGAAAAAUGUAUGUACACAUCUGUGUAUUACAUAGUAGGUUAUGGCGACGGUUUUUUGGACUAUAGCGAGCUAUGGCGACAGUUUACCGUCGCCAUAGCCCAAAAAAUCCGUCGCCAUAGCCCUACUGUGUAUUACACAGCUGUGUAUAUACAUAUAGCCUUAUAUAUAUACAUAUAUAUAUAUAUAUAUAUAUAUAUAUAUAUAAUAGUAGUUUAUAAUAGCUGUCAAAAAUUUUCUACAUGCGCUCCAUAAAUUAAAAAUAGAAUAAAUUUUAUUUUACAAUGAAAUUCAAAUAAAAGAAAUUAAAACCCAUCAAAUAUAGGUUGCUACUUGAGGUUGAAGAACGAUCACAAAAACCAAGUUCUUUAUUUAUCAAAUUAUUUUUUACAAAAAUUUUAUAUUUUUAAACAUCAUUAAAUUACUUCAGAAACUCUCCCCUUUGUUGAUUUUUUUCUGGGUUAAUUUUCUUUGUUAUAUAUAGAAAAUUGAUAUUUUCAUAUAAAAAAUAAUAUUUCUACAUGAAUCCCUCUCACGUAUUUCUACAUGAAAAAAAAUUAUAUAUAAAUUUUGAUAUUUACCAAAAUUUUGAGACGUUUUCAAACUACGCAGAGUCGCAUGAUACAUUUACCUCCUCUCAGUCGUACAACCGAAAGAAACAUUCCAAGCGUCAAAAAUAAUUUUUUUUACUGAUUUAUUUUGACUUCCCUUUAAAAACAUUCAGGUUCCGCCACUGCAUAGAGCACAAUUACAUAACUUUUUGCAAUAAAACUUUAAUAAUACAUUUUAAUCUUUAAAAUUUGAUAUUAAAAAAAUUAUGAGUAAAAGGGUAUCUUACACAAAUUUAAAACUCUUUGUUGUGAGCGUAUACUUAGGGGGUGUAUUCAAUUAAGAUUUUUAAAGAUUUUUAAAGAUUUUUAAAGAUUUUAAAAGUUUAGUUGUAUUCAAUCAAGACAUUUAAAGAGUUUAUAAAAGUUUUGUGGUAUUCAAUUACAACUUUUUUAAUGUCUUUAAAAGUUAGGUGGUAUUGAAUUAAGAUUUUUACAAAGUCUAUAAAAGUAUUUUGGUAUUCAAAAAGUCAUAGAUUUUAAAAUUUUCUAUCAAAUGAUAGAGUUUGACAGACUUUAGAAGAAGAAUUAUAACUAUUAACCCAUAUCCAAAGUCUUACCUCAUCUCUAAAGAUUUUUAAAGACUUCCAAAUAAACACAAAGGUGGAUAAAACUAGUUAUUAAUUGGACUUUGUCUUUUAUUGGGUCAACUAGUUUGUGACGCCCCCAAAAUAGGUAUACAACACCCAUUCUGAGUCGCCAAAUACAUGGUACAUUAAGCAAACUACAACUUCAACAAUACAAAUAUCGUGUGAAAUACGACAAUACAUAUUGUGAGUUUAAAUACAAAUAUUAUCUUCUAGACAAUAUCCACACUCAAAUAAGUCCUAAUUACAAUUAUUUAAACACUAUUUUACAGAAAUAGUGAGGACUGCUAAAACAUCUUUCUAGAACCAUUACUCCAUACCCCGACUCGAUCCUGCUAUGUUCUCACCUCCUGAGAAGAAAAAUGGAACAAAAAGGAAAAGGGUGAGCUCAACUAGCCCAUUAAAGAAUAUUAUGACUAAGAUAAUAUACAAUAAAUUAUCAUUAGUCUUCAACAGGAAAAAAUCUGAUAAAAUAUAAUAGACAACAAAUUUUAGAUCAACAACUGCAGCGAAAAUAGCAAUCCAUUAGAAUAAUCAAGUAGAGAAUGAGUUCUACUAUCUUCUAAGAUUUAAAAGUCCAUCAUCAAUAUUUUAUCCCUGUAACAACAAUCAAUAUACAUCUUUAAUCAAAUAUUCAUCUUUGCACUACAGGCCAAAGAUAUUCAUUUGUAUCACCAGUUGGUCAUGUUCAUCUCAACACCUGUUCAUCUUUGCACUACGGGCCAAAGAUAUUCAUCAGUUAAUCAUUCAUCUUUGCACUACAGGCCAAAGAUAUUCAGUAAUAUCAUCAUUUAGGACUGAGGAUGAUGAAAAAUAUUUUAAAGAAAACGAAUCCAGUGAGACAGAAGGACAAAUAUUAGGGAUUCGUAUAACAGUUUAUCCAAGAUCAAUAAUACUUCAUAAUAACCAAUUGUGAAGCAGAAUUCAAAAAUAAAGAUCAAAACAUGGAUACAAUCAAAGAUAGUAACCAUAAUAGACAUCUUGGACAAAAAGAAGAAAAUUUCAUUUUUCGGUGAAUAGUGCCGUAUUCGUGAAUAGUGCCGUAUACGUGAAUAGUAACCCCGACACAAAAAGUUCCAAAUUUGAUAAAAAGUUCAUACCAACAUUUCGGUAUAAUGAUAUUGAAGAAAAUAUCAUUUUAAGAAGAAUAUAACACCCCUUACCUCAAAAUAUCAGUACUUCUGAUCGGAAUAUCGGUAUAAGGCUGAAGGAAACUUGCACUGAUGAAUAGAAACUCACAAAGUAUCUAAAUACUCACAAAAUACACUCAAUAAUCUAGAGAGAGAAAGAGAGAAAACUUGUUUCUGGUGUGAUUUUCAAUUCUAACUUAGCCCUCUAUUUAUAGGAAAAUGUUAGCAGACUUGACCUGCAACCUGAUGGCUUUACCUGCUACUAUUCCCACCCACCACAUUUGAAAUAAAUUCAGCACAUUUCUUCACCAACCACAAGUGGGGCCCACUCAAUUCUAGAAUUUUCCACCAAAAUCAUUUAUAAACCUAAUUUCUGAAUCAGUCACCUCUUAAAAUUCAUAACAAAUCAUACGUUCAUUUUUAACGGUUCAAAAUUUGUGGACAUAUACUCAACUUAUAUAUGUAUAACAUAUCCAAAAAUUACAACGAUCCAACGGUCGGAUUAAAAAUUAUAACUCACACAAUAUAUCUCAAAAACACUGGUUUAAUUUUUAAUACCUUCAUUCCGACAAAAAUACUGAUAAAACACCUCAACAUUAACUCCUUCAUUUUUAACCACAAUAAAUAUAUCCAACAUUUAUAUCCACAUAAAAUAAAUAUUUCCUUAUCAUAUGAAUCAAUAAUUAAUUAUUCACAAAUAAUAUUACAGAAUCACAUUUAUGACAACCAGGCCGUUCCCAGGAAAGAGGGGGCUUUCCAAUAAGAAUUUCUCCUUAUUGGCGCGCAAUUAGGUGACCAAACCUCUCCUUGACAGAACUUUCUAGACAUUGCCAAUAAUGCUAUCUAAUAAUAUUAUUCAAAUAAUAUGAAUUAUUGAUCUGAUAAUGGGAAAUACUGUGCAGUGACAAUUAUUGAAACAACAAUAAUAUAAAAUAUCAACGCAGCAAUUAUUGAAUCAAUAAAAUAAAAUAUUGAACAGUAACUACUGUAACAAUUAUUGAGUAGUGCCUUCUUACGUAAGGAUCAAUAAUUCAUCAAUACUGUGCAUCCACGCGUAUUACUGUAUUUUAACCACCGGGUAUUCCAACAGUGUUAACGGUAACAACUACGCCGUUAUUUAUAAAAACUCAAACUUGUCGUUUUCUUCAUCCGACAGUUAUUCUGUUAUGGGGCCCACAAAUGACUGCGCCGUCGUACGAAUAUUCCCCGACAACAAGAAUAUUCCACGACCAAACGAAUAUUCCCCGACAACAAUGAUUAUUUUAUAACCACUUGCAUAUUUUGCAAAAUUUGCACAUUUCACCCAUAACCAGAGAAUUAUAUCAAAUUAAUACCUUAUUAUUCACAAAUAUAAUUAGAGGAAAUUCGAUUUUAUUUAUAAUAAGUUGGGGUCUUACAACCUCCCCUCCUUAUGAAAUUUCGUCCUCGAAAUUGACAUACGUACCUGGUGUUUCGAAAAGGUGAGGAUACCUCGCUUUCAUUUCUGAUUCCAACUCCCAGGUCAUUUCUUCAAUAGCAUGGUUUCUCCAUAAAACCUUAACUUGUGGUAUAACCUUGGUGCGUAGGACAUGCUCUUUCCUAUCCAAGAUCUUAACAGGUACUUCUUCGUACGUUAAAUCUUCGGCUAUCUCGUCUGGUUCUAACGCAAUAAUAUGGUUCGGGUCUUUCACAUAUUUACGAAGCAUGGAUAUGUGAAAAACAUUAUGAACACGAGACAUACUUGGAGGUAAUGCGAGUCUAUAGGCCACAUUUCCUAUUCGGUCAAGAAUCUCAAAUGGACCAACAAAUCGUGGAUUGAGCUUUCCUCUCUUCCCAAAUCUUGUAACUCCCUUCCAUGGUGCAACACGUAACAAUACAUGAUCCCCAAUAUUAAAUUCCACGUCUUUUCGAUGAAGAUCCGCAUAACUCUUUUGUCGAUCUUGUGCCGUUUGUAUACGUUGUCGAAUCAUUUGGAUCUUUUCUGUAGUCAUGCGUACUAAUUCUGGUCCCAACAACGUUGCUUCUCCCACCUCGUCCCAGCAUACUGGAGAACGACACUUUCGUCCAUACAACGCCUCAAAUGGAGCCAUGCCUAUACUUGCUUGAUAACUGUUGUUGUAGGAGAAUUCCACCAGUGGCAAGUACUUAUCCCAACUUCCUUUAAAAUCUAGGACACAAAGUCUUAAUAGAUCUUCAAGGGUUUGAAUAGUCCUCUCUGAUUGUCCGUCCGUUUGAGGAUGGUAUGCCGAACUGAAUCGUAAAUCCGUGCCCAUAGCUUUCUGCAAGCUAACCCAAAAUCGUGAAGUGAAUCUUGGGUCACGAUCCGAAACUAUGGAUACUGGCAUGCCAUGCAAUCUCACAAUCUCAUUCACGUACAUACGAGCAAGACGUUCAAGGGAAUAAGUCUCACGUAUCGGUAAGAAAUGGGCAGACUUGGUUAAUCUAUCAACAAUAACCCAAAUCGCAUCUAUGCCUUGAGAAACUUUGGGAAGACCUGUAACGAAAUCCAUAGUAAUGUGUUCCCACUUCCAUUUCGGAAUCUCAAGUGGUUGUAAUGGACCCUUUGGCACUUGAUGCUCCGCCUUUACACGUUGACAAGUUAAACACCUCGAGAUAAACUCCGCGAUCUCUCUCUUCAUAUUGUUCCACCAAAAUGUAUGUCGAAUAUCAUGAUACAUUUUGGUACUCCCAGGAUGGAUUGCAAACGGGGUGUUGUGUGCCUCCAUCAUGAUUCUAUGCUUCAAGUCAGAAUCGUUAGGAACACAAAGUCUGGAGUUGAAUCUAAGUAUUCCUUCUUCAUCGAUUCUCGCUUCUGGAAUAGCUCCUUCUUGCACUUUCUUCUUCAUACGUAUCAGCUCCAGGUCCGUAGCUUGAGCAGCUUUAACUUUAUCGAUUAAAGUCGGUUCUACUCGUAUAUUCGCCAUCAUCAUGUGGGUCCCUGGAGUCUUUAAUUCUACCUCCAUCCUUUGCAAGUCAUACAGAAUGGGCCUUUGCAUUAACAAUAUCGCACUCGUACUCGCAUAUGAUCUUCUACUCAAUGCGUCAGCUACUACGUUCGCUUUUCCAGGAUGAUAUUGAAUAGUGUGAUCGUAAUCUUUCAAUAGUUCAAGCCAACGUCGUUGCCGCAUGUUGAGUUCUUUUUGGGUGAAGAAAUAUUUGAGGCUUUUAUGGUCCGUAUAAAUCUCCACUUUCUCCCCAUACAAGUAGUGUCUCCAAAUUUUCAACGCGAAUACGACUGCUGCCAACUCUAGAUCAUGAGUAGGAUAAUUCCUCUCAUAUUCUUUGAGUUGUCGUGAGGCAUAGGCUAUGACUUUCCCAUGUUGCAUGAGAACGCAUCCUAACCCUUUGCCUGAAGCAUCGCUGUAUAUAACAAAUCCAUCCGUACCAGAUGGUAUUGCCAGAACAGGUGCCGAAAUGAGUCUCCUCUUGAGCUCUUGGAAACUCUUCUCGCAUUCCUCGCUCCAUACAAAUUUUGUAUCUUUCCGAGUCAACUGAGUUAACGGAGUAGCGAUUCGAGAAAAUCCUUCCACGAAUCUCCGAUAAUAACCAGCUAAGCCCAGAAAGCUACGCACUUCGGUCACCGACUUUGGUUGCUCCCAACUUUGUACUGCUUCAAUCUUCGCCGGGUCGACAGAUACUCCAUGUUUUGACACCACGUGCCCAAGGAAUGCUACUUCCUCAAGCCAGAACUCGCAUUUCUUCAGCUUGGCAUAAAGUUUGUUUUCACGAAGCCUUUCAAGUAUCAGCUUCAAAUGGUGCUCAUGAUCUUCACGGCUUUUGGAAUAGAUGAGGAUGUCAUCAAUAAAGACAACAACAAACUGAUCCAAAUAUUCCUUGAAUACACGGUUCAUCAUAUCCAUGAAAGCAGCAGGAGCAUUAGUCAAUCCAAAAGACAUGACUAAGAAUUCAUAAUGCCCGUACCGAGUUCUGAAGGCAGUCUUUGGAAUAUCCUCAGUUUUAAUCUUCAGCUGAUGAUAUCCAGAACGAAGAUCGAUCUUUGAAAAGAAUUGUGCUCCUUGCAACUGGUCGAACAGGUCAUCAAUGCGAGGUAGCGGAUACCUAUUCUUGAUGGUGACAUGGUUUAAUUCUCGGUAGUCAAUACAAAGUCGCAUACUCCCGUCUUUCUUCUUUACGAAUAAAACAGGAGCACCCCAAGGAGAUGUACUAGGACGAAUGAAACCGAUGUCUAACAAUUCCUGUAGUUGGACUUUUAACUCCUGAAGUUCAAUAGGAGCCAUUCGAUAUGGGGUUUUAGAAAUGGGUUUUGUACCCGGUUCAAGGUCAAUAAAGAAUUCAACAUCACGUUCUGGGGGUAGACCGGGAAGCUCUUCAGGAAAUACAUCAGGAAAUUCUCUAAUAACAGAAAUAUUAUUCAAAUCUGAAAUGUCUAUUCUCAAAUCCAUAACAUGGGCUAAGAAAGCUUGACAUCCGUUUUUCAAUAAACGAAUAGCUUUGUGGCUUGAUAUGACAGUGACUGAUUUUAGUGGUUUAGUGGUUUGAAUUCGUAUGACAGGUUGGUUAGGAAUAUGAAAACUAACAACCUUACGAAAACAAUCAAUUUUGGCAUGAUGAGUGGUUAACCAAUCAAUUCCUAAAAUCACAUCAAAAGCAAGUAUCUUUAAAGAGAUAAGAUCAACAGGUAAUGUGAUAGUGCCAACUUGGAUCAUGCAAGAUUUAUAAACUGUAGAUGUAACGAAGGUUUCACCCAACGGAGUUUCAACAGAUAAAUCAAAAUCUAAUUUCUCCGGAGUCAAGUUUAAACGUUGAGCACAAGCAGGAGAGAUAAAAGAAUGGGUAGAACCGGUAUCUAGUAAGGUAUAAACUUCGCAAGAAUUCAAGAUUAGCUUACCCGUAAUCACCUCGUUCUGGUUCCUCGCGUUUUGGCCAGUCACGACAAACGCUCUUCCAGGAACCGCUGAUUUCGACUUAUCCGGGACAACCCUUGGUAUCACCAUCCCCGCUGAACUUGGUUUCGCUAUAGUACAAUCUCGAAAGAUAUGUCCUUCAUUUCCACAAUUAUAACAUACCUUGGAUUGUUGUGGGCAGUUUGGGCUGAUAUGUCCCUCUUUCCCGCAUUUGUAACAUCUAACUGGCGGUCGUUCUCCUCCCCUAGAAUUUGUUCUUGGUGCUGGUGCUGCAGUUGAUGUCUUCCCGUCAUUGUUGAAUCUCCUCUUUCUGAAAUUUCCACUUGACUCACCUCUCCUAUUAUCAUGGCCACGAUGACCACCCGAGUGGUUACCGUCUUUGUUCGUAUUUUUCCCUCCUCGUUUGUUAUCAUCGCUCUGAUGACUGCUGUCACCGGAAUGACCCUGGUUGUGGUCCCUCGGUUGCACAUACUCAUUAUCUCGCUCUAAUAAUUGAGCCCUGUUUACAACAUCUGAAUAUAAAGAAAAUUUAUGAGAUAUAAGAUAUUGUCGAAUCUCGGGCUUUAGACCUCUCAGAAAAAUCCUUGUCAUUCGUUCCUCAUUUUCGACCAAAUGAGGUGCAAACCUGGAUAACUCUGCAAACUUCGCCUCGUACUGGGACACCGUCGUGUUGUUUUGUUCCAGUCUGAUAAACUCCACCUUCUUCAUAUGACGAAUACUUUCAGGAAAGUACUUGUCAUUGAAUAGUUUCUGAAAUGUUUCCCAAGACAUGCUGAGUGCGGCUGGCUGGGUACGCUUCACGGAUUCCCACCAGUAGUCUGCCUCACCGCGGAACAUAAAGGUGGCGAAUGGAACCUUCUAUUCCUCCGUGCAUCCCAAGACAUCGAAUAUCUUGUUAAUUUGCUUCACCCACAUUUCCGUCAUGAUCGGAUCCGGCUUUCCCUUAAAUUCUGGUGGUCUUACAAUUGCUUUUUCUCUCACCAAUUCAGAUUAGGUCUAGUUAUUUGUUUACUUAUUAAUAUAUCUUGUUAAUUGUCUUAUUAUAAUAAAUCCAAUUAUUUUUAUGGCCCAAAUUUUACCAAAUUAUUUAUCCAUCACAUAUUAAUAUUUAUUAGCCCAUAUAAAAUAAAUAACUAUGUAAGACCCCAACUUAUUAUAAAUAAAAUCGAAUUUCCUCUAAUUAUUAUUGUGAAUAAUAAGGUAUUAAUUUGAUAUAAUUCUCUGGUUAUAGGGGAAAUAUGCAAAUUUUGCAAAAUAUGCAAGUGGAUAUAAAAUAAUCAUUGUUGUCGGGGAAUAUUCGUUUGGUCGUGGAAUAUUCUUGUUGUCAGAGAAUAUUCGUACGACGGCGCAGUCAUUUGUGUUUCCUUUUUGUUCUAUUUUUCUUCUCAGGAGGUGAGAACAUAGCAGGAUCGAGUCGGGGUAUGGAGUAAUGGUUCUAGAAAGAUGUUUUAGCAAUUCUCACUAUUUCUGUAAAAUAGUGUUUAAAUAAUUGUAAUGAGGACUUAUUUGAGUGUGGAUAUUGUCUAGAAGACAAUAUUUGUAUUUAAACUCACAAUAUGUAUUGUCGUAUUUCACACGACAUUUGUAUUAUUGAAGUUGUAGUUUGCUUUAUGUACCAUGUAUUUGGCGACUCAGAAUGGGUGUUGUAUACCUAUUUUGGGGGCGUCACAACAAUCGUUCGAAAGCUUCCAAUAGAAAGAGAAAAGAGAUUUGUUCAACAAGUGUGAGAUCAUGAAACUCUCAUAUCAGGUGUUCAGUUGUAAAGAUUAUGUAACUAUAAUAUAUGAAAAUAGAAAAUAUAUGAUGUGUGUGUGUAUUUUUUUUUUUUUUAGUUUUCUGACAUUUUAAACGAAGGAAAUUACUGUUAAUUUUUUAGACUGACAAAAAUAAUAAACAAUAUAUGAUGUGUAUGUAUAUAUGAUGUAUAUAUAUACUGUUUAACAAUAAUAAUAUGAUCCAAAUAGUAUAUACUAUAUAUCAUAUAUUAUGAUCAUUAAACAUUAUAUACUAUAUACAACCUCCGUCCCACAAUAAGUGUUUUUUUAGACUUAAUAUUUUUCCCAAAAUAAGUGACGUGUUAGAACUCCAAUACAAUUUUUGCAAUAUUUCUCAUAUAUGCCCUUAUGCAUUCAAUGGUAUUUAUUGCAUCUUAUCAUCACUACAAUUAAAUGACACUCAUUAACUCUUUAACUUCAAAGAAAAUAUAUUAAGGGUAUUUUUGUAAUUUUAGCUUGUGUAUUGGUAUGUGUUAUUUAAGCUAAAAAAGCACUUAUUAUGGGACGGAUGUAGUAUUAUUUUCACUUUAAACAUUAUAUACUAUACUCACAUGUAUGAAGUUUUGCAACUUUUGAUCAUAUAGAUUUUCAUUGUAAUAUUAUUUUGUGAAAAACAGAGCUUGAUAUUCCUACUAAAAAGCGUACGCAUACGCAUAAAGUAUAUAUAGCUCAAUGAAAAGUGAGCUUAAUUUUUGUAUUGCGUCUGUAGUUUCUAAAGUUUUAUUGGUAUCCAAGUAUCCAAAUGUAUCAUGAAAUGAGUAGAAUAAUAUGAACGCUUUCAACAUAUAUAAAAUCUCAUGCCACAAUAAUAUAAAGAGAUUUACUCUAGUUCAUGAAAAAAGAGAAAGAGGUUGUACACAUGGGUUAAUUAACAAUUAAUAUAAGUUGCAAGAUAUAUUAAAAGGGUUAAAUGAUUUUUCAGUAACUGUACUAAAGGUCGACUUACAUAUAGAUAACUGAACUUUUUUUUUCUUACAGUCAACUCACUGUACUCGACUUUGCUAACAAAAAAUUAAAAAACCCGUUAGAAACUUUGACUUUCAACGGAACGGUACACGUCAGCGGCUGAGUUAUCCGUUACAAAGCUUUUUUUAAUAAAAGCUGCGUUUUUAAUUUUUUGUUAGCAAAGUCGAGUACAGUGAGUUGACUGUAAGAAAAAAAAAGUUCAGUUAUCCAUCUGUAAGUCGACCUAUAGUACAGUUAUUGAAAAAACAUUUAACCUUAUAUUAAAAGUAUACAAAAGUCUAUCACAGUCUUGAUACAAAGUUUAUAAAAGUCUGUUACUUAUUUCAUGGAGUCUAUAAAAGUCAUUUUAAAAAAGUCUUUAAAGUCUUUAAAAGUCAUUAAAAUCUCACAAAUUCUACAAAAGUUUGUCAUUUAAAAAAAGUCUUUAAAAAUCUUAAAUACACCCCCCUUAAUGUUGAGAGAUUUAAAACUAUUUGUUUUAAAAUGGGUUAAAUACAUUUUUCCCACCCUACUAAGGGUCGGUUUACAAAUGCAAUACUGAAUUGAUUUUUUUUACAAUUGACUCAUUGAACUUCAAAUAUUUAUCAAAUCGUUAUAAAUUCCGUUAAAUGAGUUGAUUUUUAACAGAAUAUCCACUUUAGCUUUUAAAUGAACAUUCACAUAGGUGAAGUCUGGGUUAUCAUUCUAGUUGUUGCCAUGUUGGAAAUUAAAUGGAUUUAACUAUUUUUUGCAUAUUAUAAAUUAAAAGAAAAGUUAAAAAAGAAAUCAAUCCCUAAAUUUCUCUAUCCAAAUUCAAACCCCCAUUUCGUUUCUCUCUCCAUUGUCAAAACCCCAUUUCAACUCUCCAAAAUCAAAACUCUCAUUUCAUAUUUCUCUCCAAUUUCAAAACCCCAUUUGAUUCUAUAUCUAUUUGUGGAUAUAUAGAUCUGAGAUGGAGAAAAUUUUUAGCAAUAGUUUUGAAGGUUGUAGAAAUGGAGAAAACCAAUCUACAGAAUAGAUUCAGUUUUGGUUUAGUUGAAGAAUAUAGAAAUCCAAACAAAGGAGAGCGUCGGAGACGCCACCAUGGUCGAGUUCCAUGUCAACGACGAUGAAGUCGUAGCCAGAGAGGCCAACGAUCUCACCAUUUUUGUGGCGGGUUUUGAGAGUUGGUGUGACGCUCCCAAAAUAGGUAUACAUCACCUAUCUUGAGUCGCCAAAUACAUGGUACAAAAUUCAAAUACAACUUAAUUAUACAACAGUCGUGUAAAAUACGACAAAACAUAAUCUAAGAGUUUUAAUAAGAAUAUUAUCAUCUAGACAAUAUCCACACUCAAUAGAGUCCUCAUUACAUUUAUUGUCACACUAUUUUAUAGAAUAGUGAGGACUAUUAAAACAACUAUCUGGACAGUCAAUCCGUUCCCCGACUCGUCCCAGCUAUAUUUUCAUUUCCUGAAGAGAACAGUGAAAGAAAGGGUGAGCUCAACUAGCCCAAUACAAAAUAUAUGACUAAGAUAAUGCAGAAUAAUUUAUCGUUAGCCUUCAACAGUGUUAAACUGAUAAAAUAUAACAAACAUCAAGUUUAACUGCAGUGGAACAAGCAAUCCAUUAGAAGAGUCAAGUAGAGAAUUAAAUCUACUAUCUUCUAUGAUUUAAAAGGUUUUUCAUCACUUUUAUCGCUGAGACUCAGCUUAAUAAAUAAACCACAUCAUCCCUGUACUACGACCAAGGAUAUUCAUUAGUAUCACGACCAUAAAUUAUCCAUGCACUACGGGCCAAGGAUAUUCGUGUAUUCAUCAAUGGUCAUGAUCAUGCCAACAACUGUCCAUCAAUUCACUACAGCCAAUGAGGACUUUUAGCACAUCAUUUGUAAUAUUACGAUCAUGAUUAUACCAAAUAAUCCCUGGUCAUAAUCACACCAAGUCCAUCUAUGCACUACAGGCACUACUAGAAAUUCGACAUAUAGCGACGAGCUAUAGCGACGGUCGGCACAGAACCGUCGCUAUAGGGUAUCUAUAGGGACGAUCGGCAUGGAACCGUCGGUAUAAAGGUUUUUUAAAGAUAAAACACUCCCACCUUCCCCCAAAUCAUUUCACUAUCUUCACUCUCAUCUCUCCCAUCUCUCACCGUCCACUGGCUCCCCUCGCCUCUGACCACAUGUGCCGACGGAUCAUUCUCCAUUCACAAGAUGAUCCUCGGAACCCACACUUCCGAUGAUUUCCCUAACUUCCUCAUCGUCGCCGAUGUCCAUCUCCCCGUCAACCCUGCCUCCGCCCCCGAGACCAAUCUGGAAAAUCCUAAUAUCCCAAAGGUCAGCACUAUGUUGUUUAUUUGGGUUUUGAAUUUCUGUGUUUGCUAAAUCUUUGGGUUUGAUGAUCUGUCUUUGGUAAUUCUUGGUUUUCUAUGACCCGAUUGUGUUUCAGGUUGUUGUGGCUCAUACCAUUGGGCAUGUAGCUGUUGGAUAUGGUAUAAAGAAGCUGCAGAUUAUGAUGACUAUUGUUGAUGACUUGGUGUCUGUUGACAGUCUUGUUGAGGAUUAUCUUACUACUGAGCCUGCGAAUGAGUACAUCCAGAGCUGUGAUAUUGUGGCCUUUAACAAAAUAUGUGAGUUUGUAGUAUUUUUUUCUUGACUGUUUAAUUUAGGCCUUAUGCAAGUGUUUGUGGUACAAUUAUUUUACUUAUUUUAUUGCAUUCGAUUAUUUGAUGAUAAUGGUUUUUGUUGCAGAAUUUCUUAAAUCUAUGGGAUUGACAUGGGAAAUUUAUUGAAGAAAGAUUCUUAUAUCUAAGCCUAAGCUGUGAUUUUUGUUUCUAUUUUUUUUUCUAGUAUGUCAAUUUUGAUAUUUGUUAGGAGAAGUGGAUUUUUAUGUAAUGACUUGCUGGUCCUUACUCUGCCUUAGUGGUAUUUGAUUGAAAACUAGAAUAUGGUUUGACAUUUUAACUUUUUGGUGCAAUAUUUUACUACUUUGUUUUGCUAUUUGGUUUUCUUGCUGCUGCUGGUAAUAAUAGAAGUCAUAGUUUGUUUUGAUGUUGCUGUACCUGUACUCUAGUACUUACAUGGGAUGAAUUUAGGUUUAUAAUGAUAAGCACAAGUAUGUUGGCUGACUAAUUUACAAAAAAAUAUCUGUAAAAUGAUAGAACUUGGUAGAAUAAGUGUAACUUAUAUACAAGGGUGUGACCUUAUGUAUCAGUCUGCUUAUGCCUAAACAUCCGCACCGUGACCCAAUCGGCAAGUUUAACAAAGUUAUGGUGGUGGCAGAAUUUUAGAGAGAUUUUUACUUUUUUUUUGUUAUCAGUUUUAGGUUUAAUGCUUUGGGGACUUAUGAUUGAUAUUUUAUUAAUUAUGGUGCUAAUUGACUAGUUUGAUGAAUGGGUGUGUGCAGAAAUUGUAGAUCGUGAUGGGAAGUCGUCUCUACUUUCGCUGGUGAAAGCUUUUGAUUCUGUUCUUGCAGUCUAUAAAGGUUUCUGUAACUUGAAACAGGUAUAAAUUUCAAAUAUUUUUUUAACUAUAGUGCCAUUUAUCUCUUAAGGGUUUUGUUGCUUUACUUCUGUUUAAUUAUACUCUUUGGUUUUGGGGAAGCAAAGAGAAGGAGAAAAAAAUAUUAAGCUUUUGGAUGGAGUAUGUAUGUUGUUUAGUUCCAGAAGAUGAAAAACUAUAUUUAACUUGGACAAUUAGUUUUAUUUGCUUUGAAAGAAAUUGAUUUCGUUUUGUUUAGAAAGGAUGAGAAAACUUAAAUUUGGUUCUAAUUGUGCUUCCUUAAUUUCCAGCAUUUUCUUUCCUCUAAACCAGACAAAAUGUUGAUGUGUUUGGAGGUAGUGGAGAUGUUGUCGGUAGAUCUCGGAUGGCAAACAUAUUUUUUUCUGGUUAUUUGCUUUGUUAAGCUAUUAAUUACCUGUGGUUUGUUAUUCAGAGACGGUGGGAGGAAACAAAAGUAUUUUCAGUUUAGUGAAUUUUGUUCUUUCCCUUUCAAAAGUUGGAAAACAUGAAGUAAACAGGCAUAGAGUCGAUCAUAUUUUCGAAUUCCUCAAAAUUUUUUUGGUCGACAGUACAUUCUUUCUCAAUAGUCAAUAAUAGCAUGAUGAGUUGGUGAUUAUAUUGACAUUAAAGACUUGGUUUUGGUGGUAUUGUUUCAGGUGGAUCUCAAGCUCAAAAUCUACAGGAGACUUGGGUGUCUCUUUUUCUGAUCUGUGACUAGGUCAAGUAGCAGUGAAACUAGCAAGUAAACUUAAGAGUAGUUCACUAGCUCAACUUGUUCUUAAAGACUAGAAAAGGUAAAAUAUAUAUAUUUUUCUUCUAUUUUUUGAAUGUUAGGACUGUCAUGUGUUAAGUUGCAGGUUGAAUAUGUAUCAUCAUUUUCCAAGAUUAUUAGUAUGAUUUGUCAGCACCUGCAAAAGAUGCUCCAUGUGAGUACUAUGAAACAAAAUCCACCUUUCAGUACAUGUUGAUUUGAUGCUGCUUUCUUUCUCAGCUUCCAUUCAGUGUGUUCCAUUUUUUGAUGAGUAAAAAAAUGCAGCACACUGAAUGUGCUUCAUUGGUUACACUUCUUUUCAUUAUCCCUUUCUUUUCCAACUUAGUGUUGGCAUGCAUGUCUGAUUAAGAAUUUAUUAAUUUCAUUCCCUCUUGCAUUUAAGUUGAUAGCAUGCUUAGAGUUGAUAGCAUGCAUAGCUUGGAAUGGCAUUACUCCAAUGUACUCCUCCCGUUCUAGUUGAUACAUUUUCCUUAUGUUCAUUCCAAAAAUAGAGAUAUAUUUUUAAUUUUGGACUAUAUAGUGACAUGAAGUCCUAACGUGUCAUUGCUUAUAUUUUAGGUAUAUUGAUUCUAGCUAAUGUUAGUGAUAUGUUUGGAAAAAUGAUAUUUCUUCGCCGAAUUAUUUUGACAAUGUGACAACAGGACACUGGGCAACUACAGAACCAAUUAUGUUAAAUAAACAUUUAUGUCAUCUAACUAGCUCCUCUCUUUUCUUCCUAUAUAUAGAUAAAUAAGAGAAUGCAGUGGUAAAACUUGGAUUUUGUGUUUUAUUAUUUUAUUUUAUAGGCAACAAAUAAAAUGUGGGAAGCCCAUCUUUUUGUUUUACCUGCUUAUUGGAGUAAUUGUUUUGACUUUCCGGGUUCUCCUGUUCUUUUUUCUAACUGUGUUUUGCUAAACAUUCAACACUUUUUUCUUAUCAUUUAUAUAACAGUGUUUACAUAGUUAUACUAUUAUUUGUAGCAAUGUUCACCAUCCCCUAUAUUAUCAAAAUACAUUUUCUGGACGGUAGAAGCCAGAAGAAGGUAUCUAGGGUAAAAAGCAGCUACUGUACUGUGUCUAACUGGCUAUUUUUAUGCAAACUCAGCUGUAAAUAAAUCAAUGUCUUGCAGGAUUUUGCUCCUGUAGCACACAUGAUUAAUAUAAUCUAAGUAUCUAACAACACUACUCCGUACAUGGAAUCAACUUGCAGUUUGAAGUCGAGACAAGAUUCAUAUAUGUCUGUAUGGCUACUCAAAGCUGUUUGCGUUGCAAUCAAGGCCAAUAUUCUGAACUAAAUGAAGAAAAUGGUGCAAUUGUUCCUUUUGGUAAUGAGACUCUGUCUGGUCCAUCUUCUCCAAGUACUAGUACAAGAAGCCUACCAGUAGAUGGUCAUUGUGCAGAAUAUGAUUGUAAUGUUGUAAUGAUUGUAUUGUGAAUGAUUGUAAUGUUGUAAAAUAUCUCUUAUAUUGUAAUGUUGUAGUGUGAAUGAUUUUAAAUGAUGUAUAUAAUAUUUUUUAUAUUUUAUUUUAUAUUGUAUUUGUGUUUGUUGAAUAAAUGUGCAUUAUUAAUUUUUUUUAAAUAUAAAAAGGCUAUAGCGACGGUCAUUGAUUGUAGCUAUAGUGUUCUAUAAAACACAUCCCUAUAGCGACGGUCACCGAGCGUCGCUAUAGACAUCUAUAGCUACGGUCAUGACCGUAGCAAUAACUCUCAGCGACCGUUAGUAAAGAGCAAAUACACGAUUUUGCCAUGACCUAUAGCUAGGGUCGGUGACCGUCGCUAUAGGCCAAAAGACCGUCGCUAUAGGCUUUACCGAUGGGUUCUAUGGCGACGGUCGGCGACCGUCGCUAAAACUUUUAGCGACGGUCUUUUGGCCUAUAGCGACGGUCGGCGACCGUCGCUAUAGGCUGAUUUUCUAGUAGUGAGGCCACAGAUGACUUUCAACAUAUUAUAAACAUGAGGAUGAUGACAAUGAUAUAAGAAUUCAAUAAAACAAGUUCAACGAUAAUUUUUUUAAAUAUUUAUAAUUUAAUUUAUCCAGAACUCAAUAACGUUCAAAUUGUCAACAUGAUACUGUUUUGUAGAAUAAAAUUCAAGAAUGCUCAGAAGAAUAUUUCCAUGAAAAGAUACUGGAUGAAGCGUAAAUAUUCAGGAUAUUCUACUAAUUUCUUGGAGUAUAGAAGCCAAAAUUUUAACCAACUGAGUAUAAUAGAAUAUAUGAAACUACAAAUAGAUUUUUGCCCGCCAUGCGAUAAUCCACGUAGACAGAUUAUUUCUAUAAUUUAAUAAGGAAUGAAUACGAAGGAUCAUUCACCAUGCAUGCGGUAAUCCACAUAGACAGGUUAUUCCAACAUAAUAAUAAAGAAUAGAAUAACAGAAGAAUUCACCAGGCGUGCGUAAUCCGCACAGACAGGUUAUUCCAACAGAAUGAUAAAGAAUGGAACCAGGUCAUGCGUAACCCACACAGACAGGAUAUUCCAACAGAAUAAUAAAGAAUGGAACCAGGUCAUGCGUAAUCCGCACAGACAGGAUAUUCCAACAUAAUAAUAAAGAAUGGAAUAACAACAGAAUUCACUAGGCAUGCGAUAGACAGCACAGACAUGUUAUUCCAACAGAAUAAUAAAGAAUAAAAUAAUAGAAGAAUUUCACCAUGUAUGCGGUACUUCGCAUAGACAUGUUAUUCAAACAUAAUAAUAAAGAAUGGAAUAACAACCCUUACGAGUAUUGAAAGAAAAUAACCCUCUUCAUGAAUAUGAAAGAAUAAUACCCCUUACCUUAGAAAAAGACUGGAUACUGAAAUAGUGAAGUAGCAGACUUCUCUUCUUCGUUCUCUCUAUAAUUUCUCUCUAUAAUAAUUGCUCUAUAGCUUUAGUGAAUUGGUGAGAAGUGAAGGAAGAAUGAGCUUCUAUUUAUAGGAAAAUAUAGUUUCGAUAAUUGCACGUUUUAGGGCUCAAAAUAUUACAGUAUAAUACAUUCCUCUUUUUCUUCAUUUUUAAUUUAGUCCUGCAAGUAUUAUUAAACUUGCACCACCUCCCCUAAUAGUAAAUAAUGUGAAUUAAUAGUUCAUUCAUGUGACUUAAUAGUAUAAUCAUGUGAAAAAACUAAUUACAGUAUAGUACCUUCAUCUAUACCUCCAUUUUUAAUUUAGUCAUGCAAGUAUUAUCAAUCUUGCACCACCUCCCCUAAUAGUACAUGAAUGUGAAUCAAUAGUACACACAUGUGAACAAAUAGUUAUAAGCAUGUGAAAUAAUAAUAAUUAAUUGCUCAUUUAUCCGAUUAAUUACUCGAUUGGUUAAUAUAACCUUCAAACAUUAAUUAUUAUCGAAAUAAAUGUCGAUUUCCACUAACACUAAUAAUCCCAACACAAUGGAACUAUCAAUUUCAUUUUUAAUCAACACAACUUAUUCAUCAUUAAUAUUAUAACUCACAAUAUUUAACAAUCAGGUCGUUCCCAGAAAAGAGGGGGCUUUCCGAUAAGGAUUUCUCUUUAUUAGCGCGCAAUUAAGUGACCAAACCUCUCCUUGACAGAACUUCUAGACAUUGUCAAUAUUAUAAAUAAUAAUAUGAAUAACUUUGUCGUCUCAAUUAUUGAUUUAAUAAUAUAAAAUAUUAUGCAGAUGAUAUUGUGACAAUAAUUGAAUCAAUAAUAUGAGAGAUAUGAUGCAGCAAUUACUGUAGCAAUAAUUGAGUAUAACUAAGUGACUUCUCACGUAAGCAUCAAUAAUCAAUAUCGUGUGCUACUAUGCAACCACACGUAUUACUGUACUUUUACUACUGGGUAGUUCAACAGUUUUAACGGUAACGCUUUCGCCGUUAUUUUUAUAAAAAGAUAAUUAUGUCGUUUUCUAACUACGACAAUACUUUCGUUGUGGGGUCCACCAAUGAUUGUACCGUCGUACGAAUAUUCCCCGACCAAUCGAAUAUUAUAUAACCACUUGCUUACUUUGUAAAAAAUUUCACAUAUCACCCUUAACUUUCACUUUUUAUCAAUUUAACCAUUUACGAAAUAAAAUAUUAAUUAUAAAAAAAAUUGAAUAUUUUCAUUUCAUAAAAUUCGGGGUCUCACAGUUGGAGUUGGGGCGAUGGUUGAUAGCGACGAUGAGUAGGAUCUGAUUAUCCGGGCUUUGUUGGUUCUUUGUUUAGAGAGAUCAAUGGUGGUGGUGGUGGUGGUGGUGGUGGUGGUGGUAGUAGCAAUGGGGGAGAAGCAGUGGCGAAGCCACAUAGAGGUCUAUGAGGUCAAUCGCCCCCCACUGGGAAUUUUUUUUUUUAUAAUGUAAGGUAAAUUUUAAAAUUUUUAAGUAUUAUAUAUAAAUAGACCCCACUAAAAUUUUAUAAAUUUUCUAUUAUACGGAGUCAAAUUGAAAAUUUAUAACUUUGUCAAUCAAAUUUUAAUCACAUAUGACUCAUAUCCUCUUAAUAUAUGUAUCUCUCUAUAAUAUUUUAAACUAAAUAAUAAUCUAAUUUAUAUUAUUUUUAAAAAUAAAUAAUGAAUUACUUACUUAUGAACAAUUGUGAUUAAAAAAGUCUAGUAUGAGUCAAUAUAGUGUAUAUAUACCAUAUAUUAUUAUUACUCAUUAUAUUUUUAUUGUAAUAUAUAUAUAUAUAUAUAUAUACUCGAAAGUAUAAAGUAUUAAAAAAAAUUGGCUCGGAGGCGCAACUUCCGAACCCCCGCCAAAUUAUUUGUAACUCAAUAAUAAUUUCGACCCCACUGACAAAAAAUCCUGACUUCGCCACUGGGGAGAAGUAUGGUUUCGGUGGUGAUGAAGAAGAAGAAAAAGAAGAAGAAGAAGAAUCCCUCAAUUUCAAAAUAUUAUAUAAUUUUAUAUUUUUAAAGUGAAAUUAAAAUAUUUAAAAUUUUAAAAAUAUAUUAAUUAAUUAAUUUAUAUAAAUUUAUUUGUAAAAAUUAUUCAUUAAUUUAUAUGAAUGAAUGUAUUAGAUGGUUUGGUUGAGAUGGGAUUUAUACAUGUACAUAUAGGAAGGAUUUGAGAGUUGACUACUAAAUCCUAUAUGGCAUCAGGCUGAAGUGGUCAAAUGUUGAAGGUUUGAAUAUAUUGGGUCUAUUUUUUAUAUUUAUUUGUUUUUAUUCAUAAUAAUAAGAUAUGAGGGUCCUUCAAUACUUACAUUUUACGUAUACGCCUUUAGGUUUAAUAAAUAUUUUUAUGUAUUGGACUAUUUCAAUUCUCUCAAGCAUAUUCCAAGACAUUGACUUCUCCCACGAGGGAUAUCAGCUAUAAAAAAAUAUUGAAUAUUUACACGCAUAUGUAUAAUUAAAUCCAUAUUCACACUUUUAUAUCAGCUAUAAAAAAAUAAUUUACACGCAUAUGUGAUAUGUAUAUAAUUAAAUCAUACACUCACUNNNNNNNNNNNNNNNNNNNNNNNNNNNNNNNNNNNNNNNNNNNNNNNNNNNNNNNNNNNNNNNNNNNNNNNNNNNNNNNNNNNNNNNNNNNNNNNNNNNNAUAUAUAUAUAUAUAUAUAUAUAUAUAUAUAUAUAUAUAUAUAUACACACACACACACACACAUAUCUAUACAUAUAUGUAUAUAUGUAUAAUAAUAAUAGUUUAUAAUAGCAGUCCAAAAUUUUCUACAUGCGCUCCAUAAAUUAAAAAAUAGAAUAAAUUUUAUUUUACAAUGAAAUUCAAAUAAAACUUAAAACACAAUCAAAUAUAAGUCACUACUUGAGGUUGAAGAAUGAUCACAAAAACCAAGUUCUUUAUUUACCAAAUUAUUUUCUACAAACAAUUUUUAUUUUUAAACAUUAUUAAUUUACUUCAGAGACUGUCCCCUUUGUUGAUUUCUUUCUUGAUUAAUUUUCUUUGUUAUAUAUAGAAAAUUGAUAUUUUCAUAUAAAUAAUAAUAUUUCUACAUGAAUCCCUCUCACGUAUUUCUACAUGAAAUAAAAAAAAUUCUAUAUAAAUUUUGAUAUUUACCAAAAUUUUGAGACAUUUUCAAACUACACAGUCGCAGGAUACAGUUACCUCCUCUCAGUGGUACAGCCGAAAGAAACAUUCUAAUUGUCAAUAAAUAAUUUUUUUACUGAUUUAUUUUUACUUCCCUUUAAAAAUAUUUUGGUUCCGCCACUGCAUAAAACAGAAUUACGUAACUUUUUGCAAUAAAACUUUAAUACUACUCAAAUUAGAGUAGUAAUACAUUUUAAUCUUUAAAAUUUGAUAUUAAAAAAUUAUGAGUAAAAGGGUAUCUUACACAAAGUUAAAACUACUCUUUGUUGUGAGCGUAUACUUAAUGUUGAGAGAUUUAAAGCUAUUUGUUUUAAACGGGUUAAAUACAUUUUUUUCCCACUCUACUAGGGGUCAGUUUACAAAUGCAUCACUGAAUUGAUUUUUUUUACAAACAAAGGAGAGCGUCGAUCUGACCAUUUUUGGAGUUGGGUUUUGAGAGUUGGAGUUGGGGCUAUGAUUGAUAGUAUUUUUAUAAGGAAAACUUCCUUAGACUUUUAUAAAUUAAUCAAUGUGGGACUUGGCUAUUAAAGUCUCACUUGGUAGCGUUUUUAUAAGGAAAACUUCCUUAUAUAAUUAUUAAUCAAUGUUGGACUUCCAAACAACCAUAUAUAUGUGUUCUUUAAUAUGUAUUCUCUUGUCUUACCAAUAUCCCACCUUGUCUAAUUUGUAUUCUCUUGUUUUACUUCUAUUUUAUAAAUAGAGGAGACCACUAAUAAUUUUAUCAAGUCCUACAUAUUCUAUUAUGUCUUUUUUUGUGUUAUUUUUAUUUUAUACAUAGAGAAUACUUCAAGCCAAUUCUACUACAAGGCUAAGUAAAAAUUUAUUUAAAAAGAGAUUUUGAUAGGUACAAUUGGUUUGGUCCAGUAUGUAUUGGACCUAUGAAACUGGUAACCGAAACUGGUACUGAAAAUCAAUUUGUACUGAACUGGUCCCAAACCGAUUUUUUUGUAUCGAGCCGACCGAUUCGGUUCACCUUGAAAACUGAAAUUAUCGAAAUUGUUGAACAACCCUAAGUGCUAGUCCUAUUCCACACCCAUUGUAUUUAUCCAAUUCUUACUUUUAUUCAACACGCAUAUGUAUAAUCACGCAUAAUUUUUUAUAUAUAUAUAUAUAUAUAUAUAACAAAAUACAACUGAUUUUGAAUUUUUCGCUCACCCUGAUAAAUCAUCUGGACCGUCCAAAAUUUGGGAUAAAUUCCACCGUACUAGUACUAUAAUAUGCUAAUAUUGCUUCUUGAAUUUCUAAAUAUAUAUUGUAUGAUUUUUCCAGUCAAUAGGACAAAACUUGAGUAGAAUCUGCAUUGUUUUAUACAUAGUGAGCAGUGAUUGUAAUUAAAAAAAAAGAAUUAAGUCUCUGAGCUGAGCCUAUGACUUAGAUAUUAUAAUUAAUACCUGUUGAGUCAUGAUAUUUUCUUCUAUUUGGGCCGAAUGAAUUGGGCUCACUUAUUUAAUUAGUCUAUUGGGCCUUCAUUAUUGAACCUUGAAAGUCGUUGGGCCUAGUCAUCAUAUUAUUUCUAUUAAAACCUUAUGAGACCGGGUCGGUUCAUUAGACUAACCCAUUAGAUAUUUUAAUAUCUAUUACUUUGACUUGUAAUGAUGGAAAAGCAUGAUAGAUGACUGCUGUAACUGCCAUGCAUUAAUGUGGAUGGGAUCAUAGCCGGCAGGCGGUAGAAAACAGUGACCAAAGGUAGUGGAUAGACUGCAUGCAGUCGGAAGAACCCAUCAGAUCAGGGGGCUGUGCAGAUAGUAGUGGGUGGCACGGUAAUCCGGGCAAAGAGAGUAUAACCUAGCAAGGAAGUCUUCACAAAGAGGUACGUUCACAUACACACACGACUGAGAAUUAUCAUCUCUCUCAAUACACUAGACAAUUAUUAUCCUCCAUUGUUAACCUCGUGAACAUGUAUACUGACUCUCACGCCUAAACUCUCCCCCGAUGGUCGAAGCCGUCAAGCUUGUGGUGUUUAUCGUGUUUACUGUGCAGGAUCAGGACGUCUUACGUGAUUGGGACAUGGCAGCAGAUCUUGGCGUUAACAUUGGCGCUAGAAGGAGGGGCAGUUCUAGUGUUCAAGAGUUGGCAAUCACAAAUAUUUAUUUGUUCUACGUUUUCAAAGAUGGGGAAGAGUAGAGCAGAUACACCUGAAGGACAGCCGAUGACUGUCAGUGAAUCAGCACCACGAAUACCUGUCAAGGAACGUUUGGGACCUACAUUAAGUGUUCAUGCCAGCACAGCAUCCAAACGUUCGCAUGGAGAUUCUCAUCCAAGGACUGUGGGCAAAGCUAAGAGAAAGCUAGUCUUUACAGCAGAGAAAGAGUCUGGUCACGGUCGGAAGCAAGUAGAAGGCACCUCACCUAAAACUCGAUACCGAGAUGACCAGGACGAAAAGGCCUCCCGGUUGGCUAAGAUGGCAGACGAAGCGGAUAGGGCCAUGGAGGCACUUAUGAAGCAACAUCAGGAUAUAGCUGAGCAGAUGUCCCAGAUGGCAGAGUUAAGGGACGAAGAGUCCAUUUAUGUUCGGUCCGAAGGGCGUGGGCAACGGAGUAGGAAGGAACCUGCCCAUUCAGGACGUGAGUCUCGAGGCCAACGUCGAGAAAGAAGAAAAUCAAGGAGUCCUACUCCUCAGAGAUCGAAGAGGGCAUAUCACCCUAUCGAGUCUAAAGCGCAAGGUCGAAGUGAACGAAGAGGCCGAUCCAGGGAAUGUACUCCGGAGAAUACAAAGAAGGCGCUCGUUGUUGCGCAUUCUCAUCACAACCACAGAACCCAAAGACGAAGUAGAUCUAGGGGCCAUACACCAGAAAGUCCACUGAGGGCACGACGCUCUGCGUACCAUCAUCAUCGUAAAAGUCCCUCGAGAGUUGGGGGUUCUAUGGUAAAAGAUCGAUCCACCCGAAAGAAGAAAGAUUCCCUUGAGAAAGAGGCGUCGUCUCAACCAGAGGGGGUAGAUUAUUUGGUUAAAGAGUUAAAGGAGCUCCGAAAAUAGUUGGCAGAGGUGCAGCAGGUGAAGGACACUCCGGGAAAGAAGGCGUCACCUUUUUCCUCAGACAUUUUUAAGGAGAAGGCAGAUAGCACCAAGAAGUUGCCUCGGAUGGAGAGCUAUGAUGGGUCUGGGGACCCUUAUGACCAUAGCCAGGCGUUCGACCGGCUGAUGGAUUAUUAUGAUUUUACCGAUGCUGCCAAGUGUCACACGUUUGUCACCACAUUGAGAAAGGAUGUGAGACAGUUGAUGGGGACUUUACCGUCAGAUUCAAUUUCUUCUUGGACCGAGCUUUGUGACAAGUUCCAUGCCCAUUUUGGGAGCAACCGAAGAAGGGGGAAGCCUACAGGUUCUUUAGCACAGGUCAGACAGUUCACCAACGAGUCUUUAGGCCAGUAUGUGAAGAGAUUCAGGGAAGCAGUUGGUCAGGUGUCCGACCUCAAUGAUCUCCAGGCGGUGGGGUUGUUUCAGAAUGGGUUAGACCUGAUAAAGUUUGAAAAGCUGGUGAAGAAGUUGAUGUUCCACCACCCGAAGAGCUUAGCACAAGCUUUUGACAAGGCAGAAGGUUAUAUUGUCGUGGAGGAGGCUAUGAAUAGCCUGAAACGCCCUUCUUCGGACCAAAUGAAAGAGGUAGAUACGCCUAAGGCUGAAGGCGAUCAGAGGAAGACGGGGGGUAUAAUGAUCGGCCAGAAGGUAGUUCGAAAAGGUACAACAAUUCAUGGCGACAGGGAAGUAGUUGUCCACCUGCUUCCGCCCCGAAGGUGAACAAGGUUUACACCAAACUGAAUAUGGAUAGGUCGGUAAUUUUGGACCAGAUCAGGAACCAGCCAUUCUAUGAGCCACCUCGUGAUAACUAUAAGACAGGGCAAGGCAACUCUCAGAAAUUUUGUGGUUAUCAUCAAGCCGCAGGUCACGACACUAAUGAGUGUUGCAAUUUGAAGGACUUCGUGGAGAAGAAGAUUCAAAGUGGUUUGCUGGUUCAGUAUGUGGCCGGGAGGGGCCAACAAGAUCAACAAAAUGUCAACCGUACUGUUCAGACGGUCCAAACGGUUCCACCCGUCCAAAAUGCUCCAGUACCACCGUCGAGGCACGUCAUUGAUGUAAUAAUCGGUGGGACAGCAGGAAAGUUGGUAGGGAAGAAGAGGAGAGGGUACCUAGAUUCGGUCAUGUCCGUGGCGAGUGCGUCCCCGAAGGCCGACAGACCAUUUCCGGGGAUUGUCAUAUCCUUCACCGAUGCAGAUUAUCCUUCGGAACCCAUCGAGCCCCAUGAAGGAGCGUUAGUGAUCACUACACAAGUAGGCUCGGUGGAUGUGAAGCGUAUGAUGAUAGACAACGGGUCUUCUGUAGAUAUUUUGUAUGCCCACGGUUAUCAGAGGAUGCAUCUUGAUGGGCGAAAGAUGGAGGUCGGGCAGGAGGCUCCUUUAUAUGGCUUCAACAACGAUCCAGUCAAAGUUGCGGGCACUAUUGAACUCCCAGUGGUCUUCGGCACAGCUCCUCAGCAGGUAGAAAUAACAUGUAAAUUUUAUGUUGUGCAUGUAGAUUCGGCUUACAACGCCAUAUUGGGAAGGCCUACCUUGACGGCUCUCCAAGCUGUGACCUCCAUCCCUCACUUCAAAAUCAAGUUCCCCACGGCAUACGGAGUUGGAGAGGUGGCAGGGGACUUGGAUCUAGCCCGACGCUGUUAUCGGAAUGCUGUCAUUUCCUCCAGAGUAGGGGUCAGCAAGCAGAAGCAAACCAUGGCAAUUGAGAUCGAGCCCUUUACUGAAAGCAGUUCAAAGCCAUUGGUUACUCCUGCAGGGGAGACAGAAGAGAUCGAGUUGGUCAUCGGGAAGAGGGACAAAACAGUGAAGAUUGGUUCGGGUCUACCAGAACCUCUUCGGACAAAUCUUAUAGAGCUCCUUCGCUGCUAUGCGGACAUUUUUGCAUGGGAACCACAAGAUAUGCCUGGAAUUAGCUGGAAGAUUGCCGAGCAUAGGUUGGAGGUAGAUCCCUCAAAAAAGCCAGUUCGGCAAAAAAGGCGAAUCUUUGCACCUGAGCGUCAGAGGAUCAUUGAUGAGGAGAUUGCUAAGCUGAUAGCUGCUGACUUCAUUUUUGAGAUCGACUACCCAUAGUGGAUGGCUAAUGUAGUGUUGGUGCAGAAGCAGAAUGGAAAGUGGCGGAUUUGCAUCGACUACACCGACCUGAAUAAAGUUUGUCCGAAGGACUUUUAUCCUCUGCCCCAUAUUGAUCAACUCAUCGAUGCCACUUCGGGGUAUGCAUUACUAAGCUUUAUAGAUGCUUUUUCAGGUUAUCAUCAAAUUUCUAUGUGCAAGGAGGACAUUCCGAAGACAGCAUUCAUUAUACACCGUUCGGUGUAUGCCUAUAAGAAGAUGACCUUUGGCCUUAUAAAUGCUGGAGCCACCUACCAAAGAAUGAUGAAUUUCAUAUUCGAGAGACAGCUGGGGAGGAACAUGGAGGUGUACGUGGAUGAUAUGAUCGUGAAAAGCAUGCAAGUCCAAAAGCACUUGGAUGAUCUGGAGGAAUUCUUUCAGACUGUCCGUCACCACAAGUUGAGGCUCAAUCCAGCAAAGUGUACCUUCGGACUCGGUGCAGGGAAGUUCCUGGGGUACCUGGUCAGUCAGAGGGGCAUUGAAGCCAAUCCGGAGAAGAUCCAGGCCAUUCUUGAUAUGAAGACUCCUCAGUUGUUUAAAGACGUCCAACGUCUGACUGGCAGGAUUGCAGCUCUGAGGAGGUUUAUGUCGAAGUCUGCGGAGAGAUGCUUGCCGUUCUUCGACACACUGAAGGGGCCGAAGAAUGCGAAGACGUUCCAGUGGACUUAAGAGUGUGAAGACGCCUUCCAAGGCAUAAAGACAUAUCUAUCUUCUGCUCCUCUAUUGGUGAAGCCUGCCCCAGCAGAGACCUUGUAUUUGUACCUUGCAGCAAGUUCGUUGGUAGUUGGAGCAGUGCUGGUUCGGGAGGUCAGUGGGAAGUAGCAUUCGGUCUAUUAUGUCAGUCAUGUCCUACGAGAUGCUGAAACCAGGUACCCGAAUAUUAAAAAAUUUGCUUUUGCUUUGAUAAUUGCUAGUAGAAAGCUUCGGCAAUAUUUUCAAGGUCGGCUCCUGGUCGUCUACACGGAUCAGCCAUUGAAGAAGGUGAUGAGCAAGCCAGAGGUUUCGGGGAGGUUGGCAGCAUGGACGAUGGAAUUGUCCCAAUUUUUUAUCGAAUACCAUCCUCGAACCGCUAUCAAGGGUCAGGCCUUGGUCAAUUUUAUGGUGGAAUGUUCGUUCACCGAAGUAGAUGCCGAGUUGCCAGAGGCUGAGACGUCCGAUCGAGCAGUUGCUGUUCUUCAGCAUGGUCCGAAUACAUGGACGCUGUAUGCAGAUGGGUCCUCUACGGUGAAUGUUAGUGGGGCAAGGAUUAUCUUGACAAGUCCGGAGGGAUUCAAGGUGCAGCAAGCAAUCAGAUUUGGGUUCAAAGCAACAAACAAUGAGGCCGAGUAUGAAGCAGUGUUAGCAGGAGUUCGACUGGCGAAAAGUCUAGAGGUCCAGAAGCUGAUCAUUUACAGUGACUCUCAGUUGGUCGUCAAACAACUGUCGGGAGAUUAUGAAGCUCGUGGGACCAGGAUGAUCAAGUAUCUGGCAGAAUUAAAAGACCGACUUCAGUACUUCGUUUCUUAUGAGUUUCAGGGCAUAGAGCGUAACGACAAUUCCAUUACCGAUGCACUGUCGAAGCUGGCCACUACGGAUGCAAAUAUUUUCAACGGAUCGGUUUAUUUAGAAAUUUUGCAGCAGCCGAGUAUCCAGCAUGAAGCGGUAAUGUAUAUCGAACGAUCUAACUGCUGGAUGACUCCCUAUAUUAAAUAUCUAGCUGAUGGCGUCCUUUCUUCGGAUCAGAUGUUGGCAAAGAAGAUCAAAUACAAGAGUGCCAAUUUCGUUCUUAUUGAUGGGGAUCUAUAUCGAUUGGCAUUUUCCUCACCAUUGUUGAAGUGUCUGGUUCCAUCCGAGGCCGAGUAUGCUCUUCGGGAGGUUCACGAGGGUAUUUGCGGUGAUCAUAUGGCUGCCAAGUCUUUGGCUUAUAAAGUACUUCGAUAGGGAUACUAUUUGCCUAUAAUUUUUAAGGAAGCUACAAAGUAUGUCAAGAAAUGUGAAAAAUGUCAGCUCAACAGUCUGAUCCCACAUCAGCCACCAGAAGAGCUAUACUCGAUUUUAUCUCCUAUACCCUUUGCUGUCUGGGGGGUAGAUAUAUUGGGCCCGUUGCCUAAAGCUAAAGGUCAGGUCAGCUUUGUCAUAGUUGCCAUUGAUUACAUGACCAAGUGGGUAGAGGCGAAACCACUUCGGUUGAUAACGGAACAAGAGUGUUUGAAGUUCAUAAAAGAGUCCGUAGUGUUUCGCUUCGAAAUUCCUAAAGUGUUGAUAUCGGACAACGGACGUCAGUUCGUGGGAUCAAAAUUUGAAGGAUUUUUAAAAGAGCUGGGGAUUCAGCAUAAGAAGACUUCGGUGGUUCAUCCACAGUCAAACGGGCAAGUUAAAGUGACAAACAGAACACUGCUGAACGGCAUCAAGCGUAGACUGGAUGAAGCCAAAGGAAGAUGGCCAGAGGAGCUGCUCAGUGUGUUAUGGGCUUAUCGGACCACACCGAGGACUACUACAGUGGAUUCACCUUUUUUGAUUGGCCUAUGGUACUGAUGCCUUAGUCCCAGUCGAAAUUGGAUCUCCAAGUCUUUUGGUCAGUCAAUUCAAAGAGAUCUACAACGACGAAGGACUGAAGGCCAACUUGGAUCUGUUAGAAGAAGUCAAAGAGGUAGCUUUGCUCAAACUGGCUACCUACCAACUAAGAUUAGCUAAGAAUUACAACAAGGGAGUCAAACUUCGCAGAUUCGAAGUAGGAGACUUCGUCCUCAGAGAAGUCGAAGCAUCUACGCCUCAGAACACGGGAAAGCUAAUGCCGAACUGGGAAGGGUCGUAUGAGGUGAUCGAAGUACCAAAGCCAGACACUUAUCGAUUAAAGGCAUUAAAUGGGUCCAAGAUCAAGAACACUUGGCAUGCUGGUAGGCUUCAGAAAUAUUUUCAAUAGAGAUCAAGUCAAUUUACCGGAAGUCUGUACAUGAUUGUCCAUUAUCAAUAAAAAGUCACUUUUUCACAAUUGAUCUUCUUCAUAUUUGUCCUAAGUUCACAAUGGUGUAAGGAGGUAUGGUCGGACUCGCUGGCCAUUCGAUGGCAGCCUACUUAUUUGUUACCCCGUGUGGUAGACAAAUCCUAUGGUCCCUUUUUAUAUUGUUUUUACCGAGGGCGGUAAUUCAAUAGGCACCAAAGUAAGGAGGACAGGGUGGACUCGCUGACCAUUCGAUGGUAGCCUCUUCGGCAGGAGUGUCCUUAUGGAUUUGUUAUACCCCGCGUGGUAGACAAAAUCCAUGGUCCUUUUAAAUUUGUUAUACCCCGCAUGGUAAAUAAAAGGCACUGAAGUAAGGAGGUAUGGUCGGACUUGCUGGCCAUUCAAUGGCAGCCUUAUUGUCAGGAGUGUCCUUAUGAAUUUGUGACCCCGUGUGGUAGACAAAUUCCAUGGUCCUUAUAUCUUUGUUAUACCCUGCGUGGUAAACAAAUGUCCUUAUAUAUUGGUCCUUAUAUAUUUGUUUCACCCUGAGUGGUAAACAAAAUCCCGAUGGUGCAAGGAGGAUCAGCCGAAUUCACCUUAUACAUGACCGAUCUCACACUUCGGUAACGAUAAGUAUACAUUACUUUAUUUUGUUCAAGUGUUGAGUUCAGUUCAUUCAAUUCUGUCCAUUCAAUUCAGUUCACUUUAUUUCAUAAUUUAACUGUUAUAUGCCUUAGCUGAUUCACAAUCUAAGUUAAGUUCAUACAGAUUAAUUGAUGCUGAAUUAUUGACAAGAAACGAAUCAAAACAGAAGUCAUAAUCAAGAAAGUUAAAGAUUCAUUGACAAGAUAAGACAUUCAUUCAUCUGUUCAAAACCAAAAAUCAUCCAUAACACUAACUAAUUACACAAGCAUAGAAAUCCUGCCAAAAUCCUUAUAUAAAGUUUCAAACAGUUCCAAAAACAUAAACAGUUUAAAUAAAUAAUUUUCACAAGUUAUUAAAAUAUCAGAAAAAAGCAGAAAGGACAUUCAAGCACCGUCUCCACCAUCGGAGUCGAUCAGAGCUGGAUCUAGCUGAGCAGCAGCCAAUUUUUCCUUACCACGCUCCCGAAAAUCUUCAUAGCCUUCAGAAUAAACCUUCAAGAUCUCAUCAUUAAUCUCGUCAGACUCUCGAUAGUCGGACUGGAUCUGCUUAUGCACUUCUUCAGUCAGAAGAGGACAUCGUCCCUCGAGUUCCUUUAUCUUGUGACGAAGCUUGUGAUGUUUGGCCCUAUACGCCUUCUUCUCAUCUUGAGCCUCCGCUUGGACUUCGCCCAAUUGCAUCGCCCAGUUCCGUUGGGCUGUGACGAGCUCUUCAAUCUUGGCCUUCAAAAGCAGAUUCUCCUCGACGAGGCCCGUAUUCAUAUCAGUUAAAGAUUUUUGACUGGCGUCGGACGCAGCCAGCUCAUCCCUCGUGGCCCUCAACUCGUCAUCAGACGUCUUCAAGUCCAUCCUAGCUCGAUCUAGGUCUCUCCGAAGGCCUUCAUUGGUAUGAACAACGCCUUCGUGAUCGCUCCUUUCCCGAGCCAGGGUCGCCUUCAGCAUAUGGUUAUCCUGUCUCAAAAAAUCCUCCUCGGCUUCACCAUUGAUAUGCCUUGGACAUAAACGCCCGAAGACAGCAUUUGCCUGCAUAUGUCCAACAAUAUCCGAUCAAAUUCAAAUAUUUAAACAGAAGCGGGAAUGAAGAAGAUAAACAAAAAAACUUUUACUUACCUUAGCCAGAUAACUCAUCCCCUCGUCAAGCAGAUCCCCGUCCGUGUGAUUAUUAAAUCAGUGAUCGUCUGUGUCUCGAACGAAGGUAUCGAAGAGCUUGAAAGGUAAAUUCGCAUUAAACCGAGGCCAUAGGGUCGGAGACCCCAUAGCUUCAUUAUGAUAUCCUUGAUUUGAAGGUCCGGGUCGUUCGGGUGAUACCUUUGCUAGGUCGGGAGAUGGAGUUGGUCGUUUGGGAGACGGUGACGGGUCCAUGUAUACAUUCUCGGGAGAUGGAGAUCGGAUCGGCACGGAUUCUCGUGGUGGUGAUGGGGCUGAAGCCGCACUAGGAGGAUCGUCAGAAGAACACUUUCUUUUUCGAGAUAAUGCAGGCACGGUUUCAACUUGCUCUUCCUCAUCAGAAACUUGUAUCUUCACUAGAAUCGGUGAAGGGAGCUUGAUCGAAGACGGAGGUACUCUGAGCUCUUCGGCUGACAGAGGAGUCACUUUGGAUUUCAAUUUUUUGAUUCGGAGAAGGCUCCUUCGAUCAGGAUGAUCGAGUAAGCUUCCCCGAGGAGGGACUGAUGUGGUGGGUGGUUUAGAUUCUGGAAUGGGCUCCGAAGUUUUUAGAACGGGCGUGGGUCGAGGCUUCCGAACUGCCCGCCUCUUUUGUCGGAGUUGGAGUAUCUCUUCGGGAGGAGGAGAUUUGACAUCUUCCAGGUCACCUAUUCGAGGAUCAACUGUAUGGGUUUCAUCAAUUGGGUUAUCUUCAGUUUCUGGGAUUUCUGAUUGGGGAGGCUCGGCAAUGGCUUGUGCCGACUUUCCAGCUAAGAAAUCCUCCAAAUCUCUCACGUCUAUCGAAGACGGCUUAAUCAAACACACUGCAAAAGACAGAAGGAUCACAUGUCAAAAUUUACAUUAUUAAACGUUUUCAAAUAAUUAUGCAGUCAAGUAAAUCAGAACUUACAUUUGUGGUCAUACAACCAGGCCUGCUUAGUAAAAAGCAAAUAGUUCCAUUCCUUCGAUGGAAAGUUCUCGAAGAGCUCUAUCAUCUCGGUCUCACGCUCUUCUGAAAUAUCACCAAAGUCAGCAGAAACCACUUCGCUCGUGGUCCAGUCCGGCAGAGAGGCAAUCUCGGGUCCCUUAACGAAAAACCAUCCCUUAUGUCAUCCCCUGUUGCUCGAAUGGGUAUUCACUAGAGAUCGUCUCUCAAACUUUUAACCAGUCUUCGAUGUAUGCUUACCUAAAACUUUAAAUCCCUUUUCUCGGGUUUGGCUGACCUUGUAAACGGUGAAGAAGAAAUCUAGAGAAGGCUCCACCCCGACUUCGUGGCAGAAGGCGAUGAAGGCUAGAAUAUGAAUGUAGGAGUUCGGUACCAAUUGGGAGAACCCAACACCAAUAAACCCUAAGAGGGUUAUUACGAACACGUGAAGAGGAAACCAAAUCCCCUUAUACAUGAUAGAUACAGGAAUAGCCGUCCAUCCCUCUGGUCGCUUAUACAUCCUUUCUCCAGCCCGUGGAACUCUUACCUAAUGGGUGCCCGGAAUGGAAUACUUGGUUUGAAUACUCUUCAGCCCUGCCUCGGUCAUAUCGGAAGGAGUAUUGGCGUGAGAGAAACGAUCUUUGUUUCUGAAGUAUUUAGAAGGAGUAGGGAUAGGUUUUUGGGGUGGGUUCUUGCUCGAAGUAGUGACAUUGGGGUUAGAACUUGAAGCCUUUUCUUUAUUGGGGUUUGGAUUUGGGGCAACGGUAGUGAUUGGAGUGACAAGGAUAGGAGAGCCCUGCUCGAAGUCUGGGGACGCCAUUGUUGAGAUUUCGCAAAGAAACAGAGAAAGAAUCGAAAGAGAAGAAGAGAGCUCAAAGGUCCGAAAAUUCAAAUUAGCAAGUAAAACUGUCAAAUUUAGUAAAGUUUAUCUUUUAUACUUACGGUUACACGAGUUACAAAGGCGGCACAUUUAAUUCCUGGCAAUGAUGAGAAUUCGAAUGGGAAAGGUCCGGGUCAAUCCUUAGAUAUUUUAUCAGAUUGGGCUUUUCGGUUAAAUUUCCGGUUUUUAGUCCAUCUUUCUCAAAUUCAACCCUAUUGUUUGGGCCUUUUACGUUGGAUAUUCAGCCAUCCUGUCUCCUCUUAUGGACUAAAUCGGGUAUGUCUCAAUUACUCCCUGUUAUAGGCCUUUAGUAAAAUAUCAUGGACCAUUUAUAGUUUUCUAUUAAAAAUUCUGUUAAAUAAAAAACUAGGGGGCAAUGUUGAGUCAUGAUAUUUUCUUCUAUUUGGGCCAAAUGAAUUGGGGUCACUUAUUUAAUUAGUCUAUUGGGCCUUCAUUAUUGAACCUUGAAAGUCAUUGGGCCUAGUCAUUAUAUUAUUUCUAUUAAAAUCUUAUGAGACCGGGUCGGUUCAUUAUACUAACCCAUUAGAUAUUUUAAUAUUUAUUACUUUGACUUGUAAUGAUGGAAAAACAUGAUAGUUGACUGCUGUAACUGCCAUGCAUUAAUGUGGAUGAAAUCAUAGCCGGUCGGCGGUAGAAAACAGUGACCAAAGGUAGUGGAUAGACUGCAUGCAGUCGGCAGAACCCAUCAGAUCAGGGGGCUGUGUCAGAUAGUAGUGGGUGGCACGGUAAUCCGGGCAAAGAGAGUAUAACCUAGCAAGGAAGUCUUCACAAAGAGGUACGUUCACAUACACACACGAUUGAGAAUUAUCAUCUCUCUCAAUACACUAGACAAUUAUUAUCCUCCAUUGUUAACCUCGUGAAUAUGUAUACUGACUCUCACGCCUGAGCUAUCCCCCGACGGUCGAAGCCGUCAAGCUUGUGGUGUUUAUCGUGUUUACUGUGCAGGAUCAGGACAUCUUACGUGAUUGGGACGUGGCAGCAAAUCUUGACGUUAACAAUAUCUAUUAUAAUUAAUAUUUCAUCUGUUCAACAUUAUUUUUCCAAGACGCAUACGUAUUACUUGGUCAGCAAGUAAAGGCCAUAAAUACGCGUCGACUGUUUUGAGGAUACUUAGUUAUUGAGCUUUAAUUUUGGUUUCCUUAACACUACUGUUAAAUUUAAAUUGUUCAAUGAUAAAAAAGAGAGAGAGAAAAAGCAAACAGGUCAUAGCCGGUGGACAUGUCCGUCAAAAAUGACCCUAUGUCCGUCAGCAUUGAUCUCAUUCUCAAUGGACACGUCUAUCGUGCGCACCGUUGCCCCAAGUGUCAUUGUCCCGUAUCCCCGUCGACUGCCGUCAGUAUUGAGUUCAUUAGCGACGACAGACAGUCCGUCGGCAUUGACUCGUUAGUGACAAACUAAUAACUCUUUUAAUAAUUAAAUUAAAAAUGUCAUAGGCGACGACAAUGAGUUAUUUUAUUAAUUAAAUUAAAUAAUCAUUCCUGAUGGCAAGUCUGUGAGAACAACUUUUAUCAAACACCCUACCCGCAGACUGCAUUCAUAUGCUUACAAUUUACAAAUAUUGAGGAUUAUUCAAAGUUGUGUCAAAAAAAGUUGUGUCAAAAAAAGUCCCAAGUGACAUGCUCCAAAAGGAGUUCCCUUUUAGCUUUUUCCCCAUUUCAACAGCAGUUGAUAAUUGAUCCAGUUGGUCAAAUCAUCAAACAAACAAACUACUAUAUUAAAAACACCAAAGAACAUGCUAAAAGUAAAUGACAAAAAUAGUUAUAUAUAUAUACAGAUUGGUUUAUUCCAACUACUGCAAAUCAGCAUCAAAGAAAAUGGGUGCACCAGAAAAAAAAGAGGCUGUCUUCAAUUAUUUUGCAGUUGUUCUGUCUUCAACAACCUUCCAUUUGCACCCUAAAAACAAAACAAAUCCUCUUAUUUACUCCUCUCUCACACACAAAAAUACACAUCAUAUAUUCUCAAUGAGCUAGGGAGAGGGGGUUGUGAGAUACACCCUGUGGGAAUCAUGAUUCUACUUUUUGUAAUCUCCAAAUGGUUUUAUUUUAUUUUUAUUUGUUACACUUUUAUAUUCUUUUACUUUUUACGUUAACUAUAUGAAAUUGAUAGUUCCACAUUAUUUUUUGAUAUUUUCACACGUAGGGCCCACAUAUUAGCUUGUUUUUGAUAUGCAUCUUAAAACAAGUUUUUCAAGCCUAAAAUGAUAUAUUCUUUUUGGCUGCAGGCAAUGAAUAUAGUAGAUUUUAUUACUUGUUUGAUUUGAUAUAUUAUGAUCUAACUCAUUCUUAAUCAAAAGUUCUUUUUUUGCCAUUUUAAAGUUUUUUGAGCUCUUCUAUGCAGACAUAAUAAUUGAAUAUGGAAAUUGGACAUGAGCGUUUUAAAAUUUUACUUAUUUGUAUUUUUAUCCCCAUUAAGAGUCAAAAUACAAAUAGAUGUCAUGUCUGCAUAGAGUUUUUCGUAACUCAAACACAAAAUCUUAAUUCGAUUUGAUUUUUAUCACAAAGUUAUCACUAGAGCUAGAUACUAAAGAUUAAACUUUUUUAUAAAUAUUUCCUAAUUUCUAUCUUUAUCUCUUCCUCAUGUUUCUCCUAUAAUUAUAUGCCCUAAAAAAUAAAUUGUAAUAAUAAGCCACUCAAUAAUAAUAUAAAAUAAUUAAAUAAUAAUAAUGAUUAAAAAAAGUAAUUGCGGCCAAAAAAAUAAAAUAACAAAAGUAUAAGGACUUAAAAAAAAGUAAUUUCAACCAAAAAAAUUAAAUUAACAAAAGUAUAAGGACUCAAUUACAAUAAGAUGGAUCUUCAGGCCCCAAAGGCCCAUUCAAAGUCCAGGUGAACUUAUGAUUUGGGAAGUACAGAAGAAGCAAGGCACCAUUUUCAAGAAAAAUUGAACCUAUUCCUCCCCUUUUUCCUCUUCAAUUCUCUGUGAUUUCAUUCAGCCUACCCUAUUAACUUAACUUGCACAUCUCUCAUCAGAGCCCUUGAAAUCACAAACCCAGCAGCCAAUAAAUUCUCGGCCGUCCGAUAUGAUUCAGCUACUAUUCAGUCUGAUAUUCGUGGAGAUGGGUCUGAUCGUGAUGUUCGUGUUCAAGACUCCUCUGAGGAAGUUGGUUAUCAUGGGAUUGGAUCGGCUUAAAAGGGGUCGGGGCCCAAUUGUGGUGAAGACUGUUGCGGGCACCGUUUUCGUGGUGAUGAUGUCCAGUCUUUACAAUGUGAUGAAGAUCCAGAAGCUUUGGAUCGAAGAUGGUGAGUAUGUUAAUCCGACGGAUCAGGUUCUUUCGGCCCAGCACCUACUCGAAACUUCUCUCAUGGGUAACAAUCAAUUUCUCUCCCCUCUGUCUCUUAAAAAAAAAAAUAUACAUAUAUUGGCAUGUUUAUAGUAUAUGUUUGCACAAUUAUAUGUCAUCUAUGGUUGUUUGAAUUGAUUAAAGUAUUGAAUGGACAAAAUUUUAUUUAGUUUGGUUUAAAUUAUUUGGUUUUGCUUUGGAAUUGGGAAGGAUCUUUAUAAAUACUUUAGCCUUUAUUUGGAUGCUGGAAAGUAGAAGUGAAUGGAAAGAAACUGUAAAGGAAAAAAAGAAGGAACUUUCUUAAUAAACUUGGUACAAUUAUAUGUAUGUUUGAAAAAUCUAAUAUUAGAGAUAAUGUUAAAAUUAAGUGUAUUGAAUGGUUGAUAAAACUCGUUUAAGUUCUAACAUUUCUAUGUUUUCCCCCAUCUUUUUGAUUUUGAAAAGAAGGGUUAUUCACAUAUUCUUCGGUAAAUAGUUUCAAAAGUAACACUUAAACACUUGUACUAUUGAGGCUAAGGGAGUGUUUGUUUAUAGUUGAAGUAUUGAAUCGGUCAGCCAUUCAGUGCGUUUGUUUUGAAUAAAAAUCGUCUGAAUGGCUGAAUCGGUCAGAUUUUUGGGUUGAAUGGCCAAGCGUAAUUUUUUUGGUUGAAUGACUGGUGAAUGAAGUAUUUAUAUUUAAUUUUUUUUACAAUAUUAACUAUUAUAUUAAGUAAUAUUAAAUAAAUUUUCAACAAUUUUGAAUUUCUUCAUAGGGGUAAAAUAAUAAAAAUUUGUUAUUCAGAUGUUAUGUCAAUUAUCAAACAAUUUUUUUCAUUCAGUGUUCAGAAUUCUGCUUCAUUCAGCUUAUUCAAAUUACUUAAACAUUCAAAACUAUUUCAUUCAGUUUUAUCAAACAUCCCCUAAGUGAAACUGUUACUGUGUUACAUUUUUCAUCCAAAUUGACCACGCGCGUGUGCCAUUCUCUAAAUGUGUGUGAAAACCCACUAAAAUUGUAAAAUUUUGAAAUAAAUAUCUAAAAUUCCCAUACCCACUCUCUCUCAUCAUCUUCCUUCCUAAGUCACCACCACCACCUUCUAUCAAAAGAUUUCCAUAGCCAUCAACAUUUUUUUUAUACUAUAUUUAACAAUAAAUUCUAUUUUACAAUAAACUUGAAACUCAAUUAAUGAUAAUAUACGAGAUCUUGUGACCUAAUUGAAUCUAGAAAUUGAGAAAGAUUACAAGAUGAGAUUGUAGAAUCUUCUAAAUUAAAGAAUUUCCUCUCUUCUGCCAUGUCUCUCCAGAUGAAAAUUACAUGCUGCAAAUUGAAAUUCGAAGAAAACAUGAGAUUUUUUAAAACCCAUUUCAUGUGUAGAAGAGAAAGGGUUUCUUAACAUCUUUCUUCUUCGAUUUUGACCCAAUUACAUUUUAUUAUUUUAUUUUUGCACAUACCCAAUUGCAUUUUCAGCUCCAUUAAUAUUCUACCAAAGACGCAUAAAAGUUUGAAUUUUUUGAGUUUGAUUCAAUGUUUAUUUCUCUGCUAUAUUACCUUUUAUCUUCUUAUAAUUCUAAUUCUCCAUUGAAGUCUCAAGUUUCCUUCAUCAUCUUUUAUGUUUUUAAGGAAUAUUAUACAUUAAUUUGUGGAUAUUUCAAAGCCUCAAUUUGAUUUUUGAAUUUUGGUGUUUUUGGUUAGUUUGAAAUUCAAUUGUAGGUGUUUAAAAAUCAUAUAUUAAGAAGCUGGUGUAAGGAUAAUUGUGAAUGUAUUCAAAGCAUAAUCAAGAAAGAUGUGAGAUUUUGCCAAAGAAAAAUAAAAUAUGGGUUAGUGCUUACUUAGGUAUAGGUGUUUACUGUUUAAGAUUAGGGAUAAGGUUCUUGGGGCCAAAAUGUACUUGCAAACUUCAGUUAACGGAGUUAUGAUGGAAAAUGAGUUUUCACUUGGCCUCGAUAGUAUAGGUUUUUAAGUGUCGAUUUUUGAAACUUAGGUGGUCAUGUGGGAAAACGUGUAAACCUCAGGUGGUUAAAUGAAAUUUACCCCAUAUUCGUAUGUAAAAGUAGGAGUAAGUUUUGUUUAGAGAAAUUUUUUAUGUGGGUUUUGGCUGUUUGUUUGUAAAAUGCUAAAAAGUUUAUAGCUUUAGAAUUGUUGGUAGCUAAUGAUCCCGAAAAAAAGAAAAAAAAAGAAUGUUUUUUUAGUAGCUUCAUACAACAUAUUCCUUUAAUGUAUUGACUGAUGGUUUUUUGAGUUGAAUUUAAAUUGGUGAACUCAUUCCCAUUGAUCUUAGUAACUUGGAUGUUUCUUAUAGAAAACAUAAUGAAAUAUGCUAUGUUGGUAUUGUGAUUAAGGAGUUUUCCUUCAAAAAUGUAUAUUUUCCUUGAGGUGAGUUGUAUAGUUGUAAAAGUUGGCCUAUGUAGGUGUUAGGCUAUGACGCUAUGCUAAUAUUGUAAAUGCUUUUUAUUGAUAAUAUGUUUUAUAUUUUAUAAUAUAUUUCUUAUCGGAAUACCUUGGUUUCUUUAUUCUUCCUUAUCUAGGUUUCAUUUAUCUAUAUAAAAUUUCAUAUUUAUGUUAUUAUGUUUUAUAAUAUAUUCGUAUCACCUUGGUUUCUUUCUUUUGCCUUGCCAAGGUUUCUUUUAUGUUGUAUAAAACUUCAUAUAUAUGUUGUCUCUUCAAGAUCUAAAGGUUAGUUUGAUUGCAACUCAAAUUUGACUUGAUAUUUAAUGCCAGAUAAUCAUGGCAUACUGCAGUGUCUGAACAACCAUAUUUCCUGAAUGGUAUUCUAUUUCUACAUCUGUGAAAUCUCUUCCUUGGGCUCCAGCAUUAGACCACUUAGGAAAGAUAUCUGCUACAUUCCUAGAAAAAUAUGUAUACAUGAAUAUAAUUCAAUGAAUAACUUAGUUGUAAUGGGUAAAUUAUUCUUGUUAAGGUAUAUUUUUUAUUGCAAAAUGAUCUCUGUCACAUGCAUCAUUUAGUAGUGUUAUCCAAUUUCGCAAUCAGUAAAUACGUGCAAGUAUACGCGGUCAACAAGUAAUAUAAUGAUGAGAAAAAUGACGAUCCCACGAGGAUUUAAUACCAAUUUUAUCAAAUCAACCUUAUUUAAACAAAAUGAAAAUUAUUUAAAUUAACAAUUAAACCAAUGAGCAAAGAUUAAUAUCAGAAUGAGCAAAUUUAAGACUACAAUUUCUCCCAACGGUUCAUUCAAAUCUCCCAACUCUCCCUUCAAUUAAUUGACCACCAUGAAUCGUUAACUGAGAAUUUUAAAAUAUUUAUAAACCUCUUCCGAUGGUCAAAUAAAAAUAUCCCUUCUAAAUAAAUCACUAUAUUCCUAUGAGAAAUAUUUUUGAGAGGGAUUCUCACAAUGUUUAUACACGACAUAUAGGUAUAUUCCUAACCUAUAAACAAAUCAUGUUAUUCAAUCCUAAGAAGAAUAAACUAGACACAUGUUAUUAUAUUCAGGUCUAAACGCUAUAAUCCAUUUUCUAAUUUCAUAUAGGUUACCAAAUUAAUCACUGGCCAGGCAAUCAAAAUAUAAAGUGUAAAAUAUGAUAAACAAUUCACAUAUGAUUAACAAUAAUCAAAAUGAGAGUAAUUCAAUUCAAAUUACACGUUGGGUUCCAUUGCAAUCUUAAACUGAAAAUUUAGUUCAUAGCGAAUAAAUAAAACAUCAUUCACAAUUUAGUCAACAUCCUUGGAAUACAAAAUUAAAGGAGAUUAGAGAUGAAAAAUUGUGAUGGUGCAAUCUUCAAUCUCCAAAACUCAGCCUUCAAUUCUUAACCUCCGUCUGUGUUGCUCUCCACUCAGUUCUGUUAUUAUUCUUCAAUUUCUUCCGGCAGCUCCCUUGUGUCCCCCCUUCAUACCAGCCAAAAAAGAGUAUUUAUAUCGUCUUUUCUCAAAACCUAACAGACUUAGUUUUCACCACAAACUGCCAUGCUUCAGCGCCCCAGCUUUGCUCUUAUGUUCCCCGACGCCCCAACGCUCUUCUACCAGCGUCCCAACGCUUUUGACUUAGCAUAAUAGAGUACUCUACGAUUUUGAUGUCACUCUACGAUCAUUUGAUGAAAUAGAGCACUCUACGAUCGUACAGUGAAGAGCGAGCACUCUUCAAACAGUGCCCCAACGCUUCUGGUACUGCUCUUUGACUGAGAUUUGGGCACUUCUACGCCUCUAUUUCCUUAUCCUACACAAUAAGAUUAAAACACAUAAAAGUAACAGGAGAUACUUGAAGAUUCACAAUUUAUCAAGCUAAAGAUAAAUUCUCAAGUAAUAAACCCACUCAUCAAAUACCCCAAACUUGAUUUUUGCUUGUCCUCAAGCAAAACAAUGAUAACAAGAACUAUUAAAAUUAGACUCUACUAAUCACACCAACUUGAGCAAUGAAUUAACUUGAAUUUCAAAAUGGCCUCAAAGAUUUCUUCACAUGAUAACCCUAGAAAAAUUAGAAAACAGUGCAAUGUCUAGGAUUUCAACUUGCUUGCCGGCCAUGCUUUGCUCUUGAUCCUUUUAGUGAAAGUGUGUACCCAUUUGUACCAAACUAAUUAUAGCUCAGAUGAGCUUAUGUAACCAAAUGCUUUACUAAAGAUUUCUAGAGAUGAAUGAAUUUUGAUCCAAAACUCCAUACGCUUGCCUUUUGCAUCACUCUCCACUAAUGUAGACAAGUCAUACUCGAGGAUCAAAAGGAACUAAAUCACCCUUUUUCUCUUGCCAUCUAUAUUUUUUUUUCAGGUGAGUGCAUUUUAUGCUCCAUCUCACUUUAAGAAUAUGUUUAUAAAUGAGUGCGUUUUACGCUCCAUCUCAAUGUAAGCAUGUGUUUAUGAAUGGAUCGUUUUAUGCUCCAUCUCACCCACCACAUGAUUUGCUAUUCAAGCUAGGUUACUUGCAUGGGUGACAAAGAAAGGCUAAAUCAGGCUCAAAAAAGUGACUAGGGAUAUUACAAACUUGAGUAGGCUUGACAAGUUCAAACGAUCCGAAGAAAAGUGCCUAAAUCAUUUCCUCAAUUUAUAUGCCGCCUAGGAUUUCGCCUUGAGUGAUGUUUAAACAAGUUCUAGAGUUUACUGCUAUCUUCCACAAGCAUUCAGUCAUAUAAGCUUUCUCUAAGUGUACAACUGGCUUAUUACAAAUGGGUAUGUGCUCAUAAAUGAAAGGGAUCACAAGCAAUGCGAUAACCAACAAAAAGUCAAGCACACAGACUAAGCAACAUCAAUCAUUUUCUUAUCAUUGGCCAUAGUCCUAUUCAAAUCAAUUCAAUGCUUAAAAAACAUAUCCUAAAAACAAUAAUACCCCUAAAAAAACUAUCUGACAUCGAAAACGCAUAUCAAAACAACACAAAACACAUCAAAACCAAACAAAGACACCCCCAAACUUGAAAUUGACAUUGUCCUCGAUAUAAGCAAUAAAAGAAUGAAAUGCAAAGUACUUUCCUGGUAUUUUGUCAGUUGUUGUCUUCCGCUUCCUCAUCUUUUGCUGCAUUUGGGUGGUACGUUGGAAACACCGGUGGAUUUGGAAACUGGUAGUAAUAGAAGACGAAGACGCAACAAUCUUCAUUUGCUAAGAGGUUCGAAUCCAAAUCAUGACAGUAGCGGAAGUAGACACCAAAAGGAAAUUCGAAGGAUCAGAUGCACUCGGGGUUUUAACGUAGUACGCCUCUACGAGGCCCACUUAACACCCGCUAACACGAGGGCUUAGGCCUCUCCGGUUUCCACCGAAAGGGGAUUUUUUAAAGCUAGGGGAAGGGAUCUUUUUUCUGCAACAGAAAAAAAAAGGAGCAAAUUUGACUCGGCACAACCUAACGAUACAUCCAAUACCAAUGAUCUGUGCCUAGAAUGCCUUGCUAGAUUCCAAUCACCGGUUGGGUUGGUCCAACCAAGAAAGACAUGGAAUUUGGUGGCAUUAAUGAACACAACAUUCGGUCAGCUCUUUCUAUUUAUUUCGCCUUCUCAGGUCUUUGUUUUCUUACGAUAUUCUUUAUUUAACCAAAUCGGGUCUAAGUUAUAGUACAGUUUUUCACAUUUAGGAAAAAAAGAAAGAGCUACUCGCCACAGAGUAGGCCUACUAAGAUAAGAGCAGAUCAUGAACCCAAAAGAAUAGAUACGAUUUCGGGUAAGCCGGAGAGCUUGGCCCGAUCUUACUCGAUAAGGCGAUGGAUCGCGAGAUUGACGAUGCUAUUAUAGCCACUUUUACACUCAUUUUCAAGUGGACGAUCAAUAUGAUGACUUGUUUUCUUUCUUCAGUGGCAUGUUUCGGUCCUCUUCCCCAUUACUUAGAAAGAGUGAGCCACCGGUUCAGGUACAAAAUACUAUCAUUAUCGCCUGGACAAUUAGACAUCCAACCCGUAAUCGCAACGACCCAAUCUGGGUUAUCACAUUUAUUUCCCUUCAAUUUUAUUUGAUUUCAUAUAUCAAAUAGAAAUGCUUCAGUUCGAUGUAUUAUCAAUAUAUUCUUUUUCCCGUACUUGUUAUAUUCUAGUCAAUCGAAUCAGUUGAAUUUUUGUUCAUAUUGAAAUGAAUCGAGAUUGAUAAGGAGGUUUUUAAUUAGAGUUCGAAAAUUGCCCAGAAUCAUUGCAUUCAUUAGAAUAAGUUGAGCUCUUCACAAUGCUUAGUCUAUGAUUUAAUUACCAGUCCUAAACUCAAUUACCAAUCAUUCAGUCGUUUAUCAAGAAAAAGGAACUCGCCUGAACUAGGCUUCGAGACGUUCUAGAUAGACACCUGGUCUUCUAGGAGGACUUUACUCGGGUCUCGCUGGUGUCUUCACCAACGUCGUCACCAAGAGCCUCCCUAGGAACCCUACUGUGACAAUAGCUACUGCGCAUCCCACAUCAGAAAAUGCUAUCGACGAAACAAACCUUUAUCAAGCACAUCACCAUGACCUGGUACAUAUAGCAUAGCAUGUAACCAAAACAAAAAGUAAAUGUUACCAGUUAGACAAAAGACAAGUCGUACGCCCUGUUGCCGCCAGCCCGUAGAAUCUGGUGGGACAGUUUGGUAUCAAGGCCAGAUGCAGGACGUUUCGGACGUAAAUUAGAGGGUAGUGGAAAGUUGAGGGUGUUUGCUAUUGGCUCAGAAUUCUAGUGCUAGUUCCAUUCCCUCGAGGAAGAGAAAGCACAAAUCAAUUACAAUCUGAGUUUAGUAGAGAAGAGGAAUAAAAACGUUGGUUCUUCGUUCCGUCCGUCCCUUCGUAGUCAAAUCUAAUGAUACGCUUUUUUGAUGUUACCCACAAAAUAAAAGGCCUGCUAGGUGAUCGAAAUCCCUCAGGCCCCUAACCCUUGUUUAACAAGAGUCUAGCCCGGUGUAUUGGUUUGCGUAAUCACUCACUUAAAGAGUAGAGGAAUCACUCCAGAAAGGCGAUCAGAACGAACUCUCGACUUACAAUCGGAAUAAUCAGCCCUAUGAUGAGCCAAGAUCGGGGUUGCCUUGCGACAUUUGUUUACAAAUCUCCCUGAACCACCUGUAGCAUGGUUGCGAUCCACCAUGCCCCAUCCUUCUAGUGUACGAGUGCUGCUUUGCUGCUUCUUCGCCUGAGCCCUAUAUUCGUUCAACAGAAGCAAUAAUAAAGAAAGCAAACGAAAAUGUUCGGGAUUUCCUCUAUUCAAUCCUUUUUCUUGUUGUUGCUGGAUAUCUCGUUUGUACACAUUUUCUCUUUGUUUUCCGGGCCUCUAGUGAGUUACAGACAGAGUUUGGAAAGGUCAAAUCUUUGAUGAUUUCAUCAAUGAAGAUUCCAAUAUUCACUUUAGGAAAGCAAUGGAUCUUUAGCUGACAGAUGGAACCCUCGCAAAAACCGAAAGGAGUAUUUACUUCGGGGUAGGCUUAGAGGGUGGUCCCCCUUUCUCGCGUAAAAGCGAUCAAAAUUCGAUCACGCCGCGUUUUACUAGGAAGAAUCGAACCAUGGGAACGAAUCUACAGGGCUAUCCAAAACAUGGAGAAGAAUACUGAAGAGGGACAAAAAACGCCAACCUGGUACUAGGGUUUUAGAUAAAGGUAAGAGGAAAGAGACCUGGUAUGAUGUUCAAGUCAUGGAUUUUGAGGACGAUUGGAACGUGGGCAUAAGGGUCUUUAUGACGCAAUCAAUAAUUCCCUUCAUUUUCAAUUAGGCCUUGCUCUAGCUUCUUUAAGGGUUAUUACUUCCUUGGUAGCUCAACACAUGUACUCUUUACCUAAACAAGACGAAAUUAAAAAAAAAAGGUUCGAGUCCUAAGAAGGGAGACAAAAAGUCCCUGAAUAAGGCAAGCAACUCCUACUCCCCCCUUGUUCCUUUUUGAAUCUAAUUGACAGAUGGAAAGAUCUUAAGUAUUCGACGUUAUCCCAGCUUUUUUCGCAUCCCCUGCUAUUGAAUCUGCAGCACAUUUGCCGGAAAGAGUUAUCCUUAUUGCGCAUAGCCGUCUCUUAUUGGAUUCGUCGGGAUUGACGGGGCUCGAACUCGCAGCUUUCGCCUUGACAGGGUGGUGCUCUGACCAAUUGAACUACAAUCCCAGGGAAAUAAGGGAUCUACGGAACGGAUCAAAUAAUGAGAGAUUUCUAAUCUCGAUUUGAUGGGAGUGCAGUUCCAUUCUUCAAGAAAACGAACUUCAUUCUUGAUAGGGCUAAAGUAGCGCCUUUGCUUUGUUUGUAAUGAAAAGGAAAGAGGUCUUCAGACAUUUUAUCUAGUUCAGGGGGGACUACUUAUCUAUCGAAACCGAAGCCUUGGUGUAGUUCUCAUCAGGAGAUUCAUCGAUCAAUGCAGUUCUGCUUGCAUGUGCUAAGGAAGGUCGGUCUGAAAGGCACUUUGUCGAAGCUGGGAGUUGAUUCAUCUUCCAUUGCCCGAAGAGAAGGUGGUAGUCUUUAAGAAGGACCCGAAGAUUCUCUCAAGUGAUAGCACCUGCUUAUGUCUGAAAUCUUACUAUUUUGGUGUAGAUCCUUGUCCCAUUCUUUCAUCAAAAUCGAAAUGACCAAAACCGAGGAAGAAAGAGAGCUUCUCUCCUUGAUCUCCAAGCACUGAUAUUGAGAGAAGAGCGGAUGGAUGGCCCGUGGGAUUACUUGAGUUAUCCGCUGACCGGAGUGUGGGAUCCGAUUAAGCGUGUGCUCUUUCUUCGCAAGAGUCGAUGCUAAUAAUAUAAUGCAAGACUGCCUUUGUCUCGUCAAUCACGAUGCUAGCGAAGCGUCAUUUCGCAUUGUGUAAGCCACAUGAGGCGGCGGCCUCCUCAGGUAGGAUAUUCCAUACAAAUAUUUUUGAUCCUCAUUUACAAUCAAUCAAACAAGAGCUUUUACCAAGCAACACCGUAAUUGUUUGUGUAGGCAGAAUCUAGUUGCUGAUCAAAAUGCCCGCCCUUAGUAGGAUUUCCAGUAGUAGGUUUUAGGUUGGGAUGCGAAUAGUAGCAUACUUGCUUAGUUACCUUCCUCUUACGUUUUACUAUCAAAGGGCUUUGAAGCUGAUGACGACCUAACUAAAGCAGCAAGAAACGAAACGGAACUGCAUCUAUAUAGAAGGAACUCAACUCUUCGGCUAUUGGAGGUCCUAAUAGCGCCAAUUUCACCACUUCCCUUCUCCUUUUCAUGGAAGUAAAAUAAAAAGAUGAGACUUUCCAUGCAAAAGGCCUGGCUUUUCAUCCAUGGCAAAGGACCCCGACCGCCCCCCUGGAGGUUCAACCCUUUCGCUUCAUCCCUCCGCGUUCCCCUUACUGGAAGAGCUCCGUCUCUCUCUCUCUUCGUUCGUCCAAGACUUCAGUCGUUCGUUCCUCUCUCUCUGCUUGCUUAUGAGCGAAGCGAGCCGCACUCGCCUAUUACGUUUUUCAGCAGCAAGCUACGGUCUAAUGACCCCCUAACCUAGGUUGGGGCGAAAACUCCAAAACUAGGGUUCUUCUCCUUUCUAUUAAAGUCGAGUUACUCCGUUCCCAGAAAUGGGUGUAGAAUCAACUCGCAGAAAUGCCUGGUCAAAGAAGGGCUUGCUAGAACUCUGAAGAAAGGCUUAAAGCAAAGCUUUCUCACCGACUAUAAGGUAUAACAACAGAACUACUAAUAGGAAUGCCAAGAAACCUUUAUACUUGCGCUUUCAAAUGAGAUUUGGGCCCUUCAUCUUUCUGAAUCGAGACCCGGUCUGUAGAAGCUUAUGUCAAGGGCUUAGGGAGCAAAGAUGGAAUGGGCAGGCAAUGUCGGCUUACUUGGGCCCUAGCUUAAGGUUUUUAUUUCCUUGACCACAUAAAUGAAAUAUAUAAUAGUUGUAGUUCGUACCAUCACGCUAUGGUCGAAUGGAUUGGUACCGCCCUUCCACCUAUUUAUCCUGCUAAAAAAGUCCUAUAUCUGAGUCAACUGAACUAGCCGAGAUUUAUGUACACUCGGCUAUCGAUUCUACGAUCGCGAGAAUAGGAACAAGAGGAAUGAAGUAGCUCGCCUAAAAGUAGAGGAACGACUUCAACAAGAGGAACUAAGGAGUAACGCUUUUUUUCGUUCAUUCCAAGGAAGCUGAUUGACAGAGAGAUUCAUCUCCACAGGUUCUCCUUUUAGUAAGAAUCGUAUUUCAAUAUAGGAAAGACUAGUAGAUAACGGUCGAAGCAUAUUCAUCAUACGAGGUUUGAGUUCCAUUUGUUUUGCUUGUGAUGGCGUUCUUUGCUCGCGGAGCUAAAACCAAGGAAACCCGCUUGUUAGAACGAAUGGUUAGGUCUCGCAAGAGACUCUAAUAACUUGCCUCCUCAUACUAGAAGAGAACUUUGACUCUCGUUAUAAGGUCCGGAGCAAGAAUCUGUGAGUUAACACUUCGGAAAGAGGGGUUGCUUGCCUUACCACACCAACCACCUUAGCGCUGGGCUAACUGAAUUCACUUGAAAGAGGGAGACAAAGACGUGAACAUGAAGUGAAGAAGUUCCCCAGAUGUGGGUAUGGGGCACGAACGAAAGAAGAAAAGAAGGCCACAUCCUCAUUUUACUAGAAAACUUGGGUCUAUGUCAAUUAUAUGUCAAUCGAAAGGGUAUUACAAAGUCUUAUCCAGGUCCUAGAAUUUCUUGGAUCUUCUCAUGAGAGAAUCGCGCACAGUUCCCUUUGCUCUGUAGAAAUGGAUGUGAAUGUACGUGAUCUGCUCGGUAUAGUGAUGGAUUUCAUGGCCGACGGUGUGGUUGGAUUAUGUUCAACAGCCCAAGGACUUGGAGCGCAUCUUUUGUUGUUUCCAUUGCUUGAAGUGAUUGUUACGACCACGAAGAAACGACAAAUCCCAACUUACGAAUAUAUAAGAAAUAGGAAUCCGUGUUAUCAAAGGAUUUCCUGCGAUUAUUUCUAGUAUGGAAUGAGUCGAUCAUCCACUUUGGUAUCUUAGACAUGAAAGCUGGAGUCAGACAGGAGGUUGGACUUAGACAGCUAGAGCUAAGAGGAAGGGGCUUGACAUAGGCUUCUAGUAUCGUAAGUAAUGAAAAGUCGAUUAGCAGCGCCUCGUUGAAUGAAAUAGGCCUUCGACCAGGCUACAAAACAAGACUUCUCACGUUUUCGACAAAAAUGCCACUUCCAUUACCUAGGUACCGCUAUAAAUCUGGGCAUAAGAGUCUCAUUUCGACCUUUUCCAUUCAUAGAAGAUGCCAGAGGAUGGAUCCACUCAAUCGGCUGACUAACCUUCAAAACCGGCUUUUAUGCCUUAUUUACAGGGCUACGCGAGUCUCUAAAAGGUCUUCAAAUACUGCUCUAAGCUUUCCGUCUUUCACAGUCAGACUAAGGGAAAUGUGUCGGCUCAUGAAAAGGAGCAAUCUACCGCUCUUCCCUUUCCCUCUGGAUUGUGUUUCAUCCUCAUGGAGAUCGCUCCCUCGCUUGUGUACUUGAGCCCGCUCUAUUCGAUACUGCUUUAUUUCUUUCUUUUCCAUUCUACCAUUUGUUUGACAGCUUAAACUAGGCCCCACUUUAGAUAUGAGCCGCUCUCACUUAUCGACGCAUUAGUAUUUCCAGAUGAACUGGCAUUGAAGCAACUGUGACUCUAGCGGAAUCCACACAUGAGAUCCUAUUCUAUGAAAUUUCUCUCCUCAUCGACGAAAUCUCUUUACUAUAGCUCGAAUCGAAGCUUACCCCUGAACUAAUUGAAGCUUCUUUUCGAAAGUUUCUCGAUCCAAUUUCUCACUUGAAGAAAGAUAGCCAAAGUUCUUAUUAAAUAAGUAAUUAUGAGAAAGUGUUUUCAUUGAGCUGCUCGAUAUCCUGAUCUGCUCCCUAAGGGGCUUCCUCAGGGCUUUAUAGCAUCCAUCAUAGUAUAAAUAACAUGAUAGACAACAAGUAUCAAUAGAAAGACGAUUAAUACUGUUGAAGGUUAUGAAAUAAAAGAUGACAUCCUUGAAACUGAUUUUGCAGAAGCUCUAAGUCUUAUUACAAAUGCUGAGAAUGAGGAUCACCCGUGAAGAGCUAUGGUUAGCUCAUCUGGUAGCUUGCCUUCUUCUUCUUUAAGUUCUAGCUAGCCGGUUGCUGCAACAUAAGGAAAACGUUUAGAAUGGGUAGUUUUUGAGGAUUUAUACUUGGAUGGGGGCUCGACAAAACAGAAUGGGAAUUUAUGACCGACUGAAGCGAUCCACUAAAUCUGCUUCUGAUUUGAGGAACACUUUCUUCUGUAAAUAAGAAAAGGUAUCGGAUUUCACCCCGCCUGAAGUAAGUAUGGAUUUUGGAAUUUCCUAGUUAGUGAUGUAAUAUAGAACAUGUGUUCAUCCCGUCCUCUAGGGGACUGGACUCCACCAAGAGGUUCUUUCUCUCACGUAAUUUCGCCCGCCCGACUCUUCUUUAAAGUUGCAGCUAGAGCGGCGGCAGCAGGAGUCGGUGGAAGAGCGUGUAAGGUGGUUGGGCGCCUCAGAAGUCCAACGGCAAGUGCAACCCCCCUCUAAUUUUUUGUUUUCUUUAUUUGCAUUUUGGGGACUUGUAUUGAAUUUUGUUGUCUCCGAGAAAAAUUCGGGGGGUCGUUUGGGUUGUCCAUUUACUCCGCAAUUUAGACAAAAACAGAAUUGUAAUGUUGGGAUCUUGGGUAGAGACGGGUGAUAUUUUAGUAGUUAAAUUAACGCCCCAAAUGGUGAAAAAAUCAUCGUAUACCCCGGAUGAUAGAUUGUUACGAGCCAUACUUGGCAUUCAGGAUUUCAAAGUUGUUAUUUUAAAUAGCGGGCUUUUGAAUGCAUGACUGAAUUUCUGUAACAAGCUACAUAGCAUAAUCCCGCAAAAAAUUAUGUUCUUCAGCCAUGGUAUCUUGAUUGUGUAUAUCUCGAAAUCUUUCCCUUCGCAGUCUUCGAAAAGUUCUUUCAAUUUCAGGAUCGUAAGGAACUAAUUCCAGACCGUGAGAUUGUCGCAUACAAAAUCAAGAGUACCUGCAAAAGUAGAAAGAAAUACAAGUUUAAAUUAAGAUUAACUUGAUUGAAAUUAAUAUUGGAAUAAAAUUAAAAAAAUAAUUCCCUGACAACACACCAAAAACUUAUUAUCUAAUUUUGCAAUCAAUAAAUACGUGCAAGUAUACACGGUGAACAAGUAAUAUAAUGAUGAGAAAAAUGUCGAUCCCACGAGAAAUUAUCACUAAUAAUUGCCAAAUACCAAAAUUUUAUCAAAUCAACCUUAUUUAAACAAAAUGAUUUAAGCUAAAAAAAUGAAAAUUUUUUAAAUUAAAAAUUAAACCAAGAUUAAUAUUAGUUUAAGACUACAAUUUCCUCCAACGCUUCAUUCAAAUCUCCUAACUCUCCCUUCAAUUAAUUGACCACCAUGAACCGUUAAUCGAGAAUUCUAAAAUAUUUAUAAGGCUCCCAAUGGUUAAAUAAAAAUAACCCUUCUAAAUAAAUCACUAUAUUCCUAUGAAAAAUAUUUUAGAGAGGGAGUCCUUAAAUUCAGAUUCUCACAAUGGUUACACACGGCAUAUAGGUAUAUUCCUAUCUUAUACACAAAUCAUGUUAUUCAAUCCUAAGAAGAAUAAACUAGACGCAUGUUAUCGUCUAAACGUUAUAAUCUAUUUUUCAAUUUCAUAUAGGUUACCAAAUUAGUCACUGGCCAGGCAAUCAAAAUAUAAACAAUUCACAUAUGAUUAAAAGGAGUUUAAUUCAAUUCAAAUUAUACGAUGGGUUCCAUUCAAUCUUCAAUCUCCAAAACUCAGCCUUCAAUUCUUAACCUCCGACCGUGUUGCUCUCCACUCAAUUCUGUUAUUAUUCUUCAAUGUCGUCCAGCAGCUCCCUUGUGUCCCCCCCCACCCCAACCCCAACCCCAACCAGCCAAAAGAGAGUAUUUAUGUCUUUUCUCAAAACCUAACACUUAUUUUCCACCACAAACUGCCAUCAGCGGCCUGGCUUUGCUCUUAUGGCACCCUGACGCUUAGUUUUGCCUUCAAGAGGGCCCAGCACUCUUCGACCAGCGCCCCAGCGCUUUUGACUUAGCAUAAUAGAGCACUCUACGAUUUUGAUGUCACUCGAAAUAGAGCACUCUACUAUCGUAGAGUGAAGUGCGAGCACUCUUCAAACAGCGCCCCAGUGCUUCAAGCACUGCUCUUUGGCUGAGAUUUGGUCACUCCUACGCAUCCUUAUCCUACACAAUAAGAUUAAAACACAUAAAAGUAUCAAGAGAUACUUGAAGAUUUACAAUUUAUCAAGCUAAAGACACUCAAUUCGUAGGUAAUAAAUCAUCAAGUAGUAUGAUCCAAAUUUAUGGAAUGUGGGCGUUGAGCCUAUGUCUUGGACAUUGAAAUGUUUUGCUGACGGAUGUCUCUAUGUGCAUUUGUACAGCUUACCCUGGUUUUUAUAGCACCGCCUUUGUCAUGGCAAUUUACAUUUUACAUUUAUGAAGUCUUAGUCCAACAACUGCCUUCUAGACCACUUUGUAGAAGUUGUAAUUUAACCCAUAAUGUCUUUGCCAGACAAAAUUGUUUGUUCUUUGCUUUGUACAAUUUUCUUUCUUUUUAAACAUUUUGACGUCUACAAUUUGAGUGACAAAUCAUAUGCACGAGGUUGAUAUGUUUAUUGAUAAGUCAAAGGAUUUUGUUUCAACCUUUUCUGGAUAAGUUUUGAGUUACUUAUGAUCUAGGCUUAUGGCUUGUGAAUGAGAAAGUUAUGAUCUAGCUCUCAUUCUGUUGCUGACUUUAGAGCUAAUCACGUGCAGGCUUCUCUCUAUUCCUUGCUUUGAUGAUAGACAGAUUGCACCACUAUAUCAGAGAACUCCGUAUAAGAAGAAAGAGCAUGGAAGCUGUGAAAAAGCAAAACCGAGUAUUUGACGACGGAAAAGCUGGAGGUUCCGAGGAAACCAAAGCUUUGGAAGAAGAGGCUACCAAGUUAAGAGAGAAGUUUAAGCGGCUGGAAUCUGAACUUGAAGCAAAGACAAAAGAGGCAAGUACUGCAGAAGCCAAUGCUGUUGCGUUGAAAAAGCAGUCGGAAGGAUUUCUUCUUGAGUACGACCGUUUGCUAGAGGACAACCAAAACCUUCGGACUCGGUUACAAUCAGUUGACCGGAGAUUGUCGCGAUCUGGUAGCAAGAAGCUUAUGUAAGAAUUAUACUUUUCCUUCCAUUUUUGUGGAAUUUAUUGUUGAAUACAGUGACUUGAUUGCUGAAAAUAGCUUGUUAGUUGGGCAUUAUAAGAGAAACUGGAAUAGAAGAAUUUAAAAGAAAGUAGCAAUACAUUUGUGUAGUUAACUUUUGUGUGAUUUAAUGCAGUAGAGCCAAGUCAAGUCUGAAGUUGAAUACUUUCUUCUAACAGAUAUGGGACUAGUUAUUAUAAUAUGGGAAAUGAUUUAUCAAGCAUGAAAUUUUAAACGAUAAUAUAGAAUAAUUUAAGGCGAGGGACAUUCUUAAUUCAUACAUAUCCAUGUAUGCGCACGUAGGUCACUAUUUACUAUGGACACAAAUUUGUUGUCCAUAUUAAUUCUAAUAUUAAUUUUGUAUUGUUUUGUAUAUUAAUUUUAAUACUGCAAAUUAAUUAAUUAAAAAUUCAAAAAAACAAGAUAAAUUUUUAAACGGUAAUAAUCUAUUCAACCCCAUUAUUAUUGAACUUUCACUUCAGUGUAGUCAACCCCAUAUUGUUGUGUGUAUCCUUUCGCUACAAGCCAAGCUUUGUGCUUUUCUAUUUCUCCAUUUUCAUUUAACUUGGUCUUAUAAACCCACUUCACUCCGAUUGUCUUUCCUUCCUUAAGGUAAUUCUGUUAAUUCCCAAGUGCCAUUUUUCUUUGUUGUUUCCAUUUCCACAUCUAUUGAUGUCCUCCAUUUCUCACUUUUAACUGCUUCUUCAAAAUAAAUAGGAUCAAUAGCUGCAACCAUGGCAAGUUGAACUUCAUUUUCUUCCUCCAAAAAACUUUCUCCAGUUUCAUGAUUUCUCAUCCUAACAGGUGGUCUGCGAUUUCUUGUGGCAAGUUGAGAAUCUGUUUCAGCAACACCAUCAUCUUCAUUUACUUCUACAUUUUUUCUACAUCAGCAUCAACAUUGGAUUCAUUUUCUUCUUCAUUUACAAUUACUUCUUUUGCAGAAUCACCCCAUUCCAAAUCACAUAUAAUACUUGUUUCAUACUUCUUAUCUUAUCCCAAUCUCAGUGCUUGUCUUCUUCGAAUACAACAUCUCUACUGAUAAUAAUAUUUUGCGAAACUGAAUUAUAAAGUCUGUAAGCCUUCGAUUCUUCACUAACUCCCAACAAAACACUACUAAAACUCUUGUCAUCCAGCUUAGUUCUCUUCUUGUCAGGAAUACGAACACGAGAAAUGCAUCCAAAAACCCUAAAAUAAUCAACUGAGGGCUUAACUUUACCCCAAGCUUUUUCCGGAGUCUUGUUUUGAACUGCAAAAGUUGGACUUCUAUUCAGAACAUGCACGGUCCAAUUUACUGCUUCAGUUGGGAAUUUUCUUUGCUGCCAACACCAUUCUGAUGUGGUGUAUAUGGUGUCGUUAACUGUUGUUGUAUGCCAUUUACAUCACAGAAAAUUACAAAUUCUUGGGAUGUAAACUCACCUCCUCAAUCAGUUCGCAAGCGUUUCAUAAAAGAACUAGAAUUUCCUUCACAACAGGAGUCUUAAAAUUCUUGAAAACAGUCGAGGCAUUUGAUUUUUCUACCAAAAAAUAAACCCAUGUUUUUCUACUAAAAUCAUCAGUGAAAGUAAGUAUGUACCUUUUGUUGCUAUUGAAGAUGGGUGUAAUGGGUCCACAAAUGUCUGCAAAGAAUCUUUGCAGCUCGCCAGGUACUACUGCUUUUUGGAAAUGAAUCCCUUUGUUGUUUCCUACCAAGCAAUCCUUGCAUAACUUGGAGGGAGGGUGAAGUUGUGGUAUUCCAUUUACCAUUUACUUUUGCUGAAGAGUCUUUAAACCUUUAAAACUCAAAUAUCUAUACCGAUGCUAAAGCUGCACAAUAUCUUAUGUGAUUGUGUUGAAAACAAGAUGAUGCUUUAGGCUGAAAUAAAGCAUGCAAGACAAACAUUCGAUUUGACAACAUUUUCGAAUGCAUAAUCAAACCUUUUUGUGAAUGGAACACCUUACACUUGCCAUGCUGAAAUAAUAUGUAAUAUAUAUAAAUAAUAUAAUUUUAUUUUAUUAAGAGUUCAUAAGUUGAGAAAUUCUAGCUCCCAAAACUUUUUUAUGCAUUAACGUACUUGUAUCCAGCUUCUAGCUUUUAGUAGCUUUUGAACCAAAAAACUGAAACAAACACCACUCAUGUAGCUUCCGAAGCCAGAAGUAGGCAAGAAAAAGCUGAAAAAAACGGGGCUAUAAUAGCUCACUUGGAGCUGACUGACAUUGCAAAACCGAUAAAAAUGAAGACUAGUGCAGCAAUCAUGUAAAAUGCCAAGUACAUUAUCCAACUGUCAAAAUUUCAGUUACGAGCAAAAUCAUCCAGGCGAAAGAAACGUUUAAAACACAUGAAAAAGCAAACCCACUAUUACCAGAACAAUAAAAUGUAUUUGAUCGACAUAUAUACCUAACAGUCUAAUAUUAUUACCUGCAAUCCUUCAUAUAUGGAUAAAAGUAACAGCUCGAAAAUAUUUACAUCAAGUGUUUAGUGGCUUCAGUCAUCACCAUUUGUAGACAGUUUGUUCUAGUCAGUCAAAGUAUUUCAAAAGAAAGAAAGAAAAGGAACUAAUAGGAGCCAAUGGCCACAUUCAUUUAUGCUGCUUUUGCAAAUCCAACUCUUCCAUAGCCAUGAUCGAAUACAGUGUGAUAGUAGCCCAUAAAGACGUCUCCCAAGAUCCUGCGAUUAGAUCGACACUUGGGUUACGUACGCAAAAAGAGGGAAAACACCAUAAAAAUGGAAAGUAAAAAUCACCGAAAUAAAUCAAGAGGAAAAGAAGUAUACCAAAGAGGUCCACGAGGAGGCGGAACAUCCAAAGCAGUGAAGCCACUAAUGCAUUGAGCAGCCACUCCCUCACCCACUUUGAGUAUGUACUAUUUACACAUCCAAAAAAAAAACUGAAUCAGUACCAUGAUAUAUCAAGUUUAUACCUUUUCUAAAAGUAAAAUGCAAACGACUCAAACGCCCCAAAAACUUUCAUUACAAUUAGUCCAAAGAUAUCUCUGGCUCAAAAUACUCAUAGUCGAUGGUCAACAAAUUUCAAAACAUAGACGUGGUAGAAGACAAAGAAGACCAAAAUGGGCCUUGCUAGACUCAUUUCCGAUUUUCACUUAUUUUGAUUAUUUAAAUAAUCUGCUAACUUUAAUUAGCUGUUUGUAUAUCUGAAAGAAGACAAAACAACACAAAAAAAUUGUUUGAGUUAGCUUAUUUGGAGACACUUUUACCUUAAAAGCCUGAAUCACAAUCUUGAUUCUAAAAAUCUAAAAAAGUAACUUCACUUGAUUUUCCGAUUUGCCAUAAUCUUAUCAUUUCGACUUAUAAAUUGAUCUAAACACCUGAAGUUUGCUUUUUAAUUCUGAAAAGAAAUAAUUAGCUUCUAAAGACCCAAUUCAAACAGGCUCAAAUAUUGUACUCCGCUCAUUGUCCCAAUCAAAAGACAUAAUUCAGUGUCCUCCCUCAUAGCGAACGAAAUAUAUAUGUUAGUCGAUAUUCUAGAAGGAUUCUAGGAUAUUAUUCUAUUGCAUGAUUUGGGUGAUUGCAUGAUUAGAGGGAUUGCAUAACUACGGGAUGUGAUUGAUUUACUUUCCAAAUGUACUGCAGCUCUAAGCCAAUAUAAAAGAUCUCUAUUAUACAUUGCAUAAUAUAAUAGAAAACAUAUUCCCUUAUUUCUUCACAAUAUAUAUAUAUAUAUAUAGUAAAAGACAUCUUAGGUCGAUCUAAGAUAAGUUAUUUUAGGUCAAUUCCAAUACAACAUCAUUUAACGGUACGGAUGUAAUGGACAUGAAAAAAAAUGACAUUAUGUAAAAUUUCGUUUGAUUUGAGGUUAUGCAUCAGCAACUUUAUAAUAAUAAAAAUUAAUAAAAAUCUAAGCUAUCGAAAUAUAUACUUACAUAUAAAUAUAUAUAUAUAUAUAUAUAUAUAUAUAGGAUUAGCGAAGGAAAAAACUAUAAGUAUGGUUGUCAUGUCUGUAAUUUCUGCUUUUCACUUCCCUAUUCCUUUUUAUAGGAAUGUGUUCGACAGGCGAUCCCUCAAAUAAUCUAACCGUUUGCACUAGAAAACCAUGCUUAUUAGCAGUGGCGAAGCCAGAAAAUAUUAUGAGUGGGGGAGAAAUUAUUACCAAGUUAUAAAUAAUUUGGCGGGGGUUCGACGGCAGCGCCCCCGAGCCAAUUUUUUAAUACUUUAUACUUUUGAAUAUAUAUAUAUAUACUAUAUUACAAUAAAAAUAUAAUGAAUAAUAAUAUAUGGUAUAUAUACACUAUAUUGACUCAUAAUAGAUUUUUUUAAUCACAAUUGUUCAUAAGUAAGUAAUUCAUUAUUUAUUUUUAAAAGUAAUAUAAAUUAGAUUAUUAUUUAGUUCAAAAUAUUAUAGAGAGAUACAUAUAUUGAGAGGAUAUGAGUCAUAUGUGGUUAAAAUUUGAUUAACAAUUUCAGUGUAAAAAGAGUGGGUGCAAAUUUCAAUUGGUGCAAAUUGCUUUGAAACGGGAAAGUGUAUUACCCAAUUUCAGUAAAGUGUAAUACCCAAUUUCAGUGGGUGCAAAUUGACUCUUCUGACCCUCAAAAAAAUCUAUUUAUCAUAUAUUAAAAAAAAAAAAAAAAAAAACCAGUGGGUACAACUGACCCCACUGGCUAACAAGUGGCUUCGCCCCUGCUUAUUAGCUACAGAAGCAUCUUAAUUCUUAGACUACGUUUAUCAAUAAUGAUACAUGAGAUUGGACUAUUUAUACUACUAGUGGUUACUGCACACGCGUUGCGUGAAUAAAUUAUGUGGGUAAAAUAGGAAUUUUAUAAAAUUUAGAGUAAAUAGAAAGAUAGAAAAAUUAAUAUUAAAAGGGACAAAAUAGUAAUAUAUCUAAAGUUGUAAGGGCAAAAGAGUAUAAAGAAAACAAAGAGAGAAAAAAAGAAAAGAGAAAAAGUGUGUCACAAAAUCACCAAACUUGUGGAGGAAGCCUCGUGGAGACUUUAUAAUAUAGAUAUAUACUACUUUAGUAUCAUUAAACACUAUUUUAUCCUGGAUUAAUUAGUCCACGGAUUGACAAUAUUUUUACUCAGUUUGAUAUCUCAAAGGGGUAUUAUAUAGUAAGAGGUACUAAUACUUCAAAAUUCACACGAAAAUUGCCCAAUACCAUCUUAUCUGAAGAGCAUAUGCUCAAUAACUACACAAUAUGAAAGAAUUGGAUACCCCUUUAAAAGCCUAAUGCUGCAUUAAACUAUUCUACAGGGUAAUACACUGACAAUGAGCAUGAUUAAACCUUCCAUAUCCAGUCAACUUGUGUAGCACAUAUUAAGAUUUAAAACUUGCAGAAAAAGGACAAAUGAAUCUUUUAUAAAGUUAGUUGGGAAGCAUAACACAAUAAAGAGGUUAGAUUCGAGUGAAGAAACGAUUUCGUCCCUGGCUUAACAUAACAUGGAAGUCCUUAUAUAAUAGUGACUACGAGUAAGAAUUUUCUAUGAAAAUGUGUGGAAUAUAUUUUAUCUCAUAAUCUGCAAUCUAAGAGGAAGAGAAUUCUUGAUGCAAUGACAACAAUGAUGAUGACAGAAUCUAUAAAUUCCUCACCUAUCAAAGCUUCAUAAAUACUGGUCCUAAGGGGCAAAUUAUGGGCUAUUUUGAUGGACUCAGAUCCUUUCAUGUAGACAAGAAUCACAAUUGAAAUCAUACCUGCUUAGCAGGAAGGGUGAAAACUUUGUCGCCAAUAGUAAAUGAGACACUAGGCAUCGAUGAAAUUUUUGCACAGUCAACACCCGAUUCUCCCAUCGGGCUAGGCAGUCGAUCACAAAGCUGCAAUAUAUCACAAGCUCAGUCAACGUGAACCAUGAAGAACUACUUUUAACUAAUGAAGAAUAUUCACCUUAUUUGUGGUUGUUCCUCUUUCGUUUUAUGGUUAAAAAUAGAAUUAAAUUUAUAACGCACACACUAAUUUCCAUUAGUAUAAUAAAAGGACUGUAAAAAAAGGGGAAUAAAUAUAUGGCAUACCUCAUUAACAUAGUUUAGAAUACGAUCUUGUGUCUGGUUUUGCCUAAGCUGAUUUUGCAUCCACACCACUGUCAUUUCACAAGCAGAGCACAUAGCAUCACGAAACCCAGAUGAUUUGCCACUAUUCUCACCGACUACACUCUUGAUGCCCAUACUGCAUAGAAGAAAUUUAAAGAACCAGUUGGUUAAUUUAGGUACAAAUUUGUACUAGUUAUGCCUUCCUACUUAAGGCAUCCACAACCCGGUUGGUCCCAUCCAAUCUUAUACUAACGGAACCUUCCAUCUUAAUAUUAUUAUUAUAAUGAUUACAGGAAUUUUGAUAAAGCAUUUUGAGAAAGCAACCACACAACCAAAAGUAAUGUGAACUCUAAUGAGCCUGACCUAACACCACGAGUUCCAUCGAAUGUGCACAAUCCAAUUUGGGAGCAUAUCUUCUUUGGUUGUGCCUGUUUUAAUUGAGCUCAACAGGAGAUGUCAAUUUUCAGUGUUAGUGUAUCAGAAUGCGGUAUAACUUAUUUGGCUUAAGAGUUCAAAAUUGUAACGCGCUUAUCAUGUAAUAACCUCAAAUCAAAAUCAGAACAUAAUGUAACAAUUACUACCUCUGUCAAAAGCAAAUCCAUAAUUUUUUGCCCAUAUUGUUCAACCACAGACUUGCAUUCCUGGCUAACAAUACCAGCUGCCCCAAUGGCAUGAUUUAUCAUCGCGAUCACAGUCUACAAAUUUUGGUAAAAGAGAUACGGGGGAGAGAGAAGAGGCAAAAAAUCAAAAAGUAGGAGCAACAGAUGUAAAAUUUGACAAAAUGUGAUCACAGUCUACAAAUUUUGGAAAAAGAGAUACGGGGGAGAGAAAAGAGGCAAAAAAUCAAAAAGUUAGCGACAGAUGUAAAAUUUGACAAAAUGUGAUGCAGUAACCUACUGUUGGACCUGCUAACAAAGAAGUUCCAGAAUCUGCAAUUGCAGAGCAACCUUUAUCACAGUAACCUGCAUGAAAACACAUGCUGAUAUCAGAAGCAAAUGUAAUUUAGCUUUCUUCUUUCUUUCACUUUUAUUUUAUUCUUUUUUUUCUUUUUCUUUUUCUUUUUUUUUGGGGGGGUGGGGGGUGGGGGUUCUGUCCAUUGCUAGUUUAGCCUUAAACACUUCUUUCAUAAUGAAUAGAACUGGAGACUGAUAGAGAGCAUACCAGUUUCUUUCCCAUCAAUGAGAACGUCACCCAUAUUGAACUACCAGUAACAUGAGUAAAGAGUUAGGAGAAGUUGAAUAUAUAACAAACGUAUAUCAGCACUUUGACCUCGAAGGUCAUGAUAAACCAACCUGCCAAUAGCCUUUUUGUGUUACAGGAACAUAAGUGUGUUCGCCCUGGUAAUGAUCUGGAUCUACACCGCCAAACACAAUUUCACCACCUUCUUCUUCCUGCGGGUUUCGGUUAAGCCAAAAUGAAAAGACUGGCUCCUUAACAAGACCUUGAUUCACCAUGUUGUACCUGUAACAUACACAACAGAUCUUAAAUUUUUUUUAUCUUUAACUAAGGCCAUGAGGAUGCUCAAGAAAUAGACUACUUGCUAGAACCAAAAAAAUCAUUUAACUUCUAGUCAAGCAAGCACAUUAUGCUUGCUAAAAGAAAAAUUAUUAGAGACACUUACCAAACAGGGACUGCAUGUCCUACAGAGAUCUCUUGGAAUCCAAGGCCAAGUAUACCAUCAAACUUUGCUGCCAAGAAUGUGAUACCAGGCUCCCUGGUUGCCUCAAUAAAAUCCUGACAAGGUCAAUAUCAUGAGUAAACAAAAUACUAGAUUCAAUUUCGAAAGGGUAACGUUACCGAAGUUACCUGAUUUUUGACAACUAGAUCACCAACUUUGACAUUGUCCUGACUGAAGAAUCCAGAUAUAGCUCCAGUACCAUAGUGAAUAGCAGCAGACGUCCCUGCAUGAUGGAUAAUAUUGGGCAUUCCUCAGAAUAAGCAAUGGCAACAGUUACAUAAUUGGUAUAAAUGUAUCAGACUAAGCCCAUGAGAUUGUAGAAAUUUGAAUCCACAUGGUAAAAAGUCACAAAUACUGUAGUUAUAGCUACACUACUGAUGUUUCAUUGGUUCAUCUCCACCCACAACCUUGAACUCUUUUUAUACAUAAAGGUAGCGUCAAACAAAUUCCAUUACUUGCUUUUCUACAAUCAUAGACAUUUUUAAUCUGUAGACUUUUCUACAGAAUGUUUGCAAAAAAGCAGGUAAUACUUUAUUAAGAAACACAUAUCACAGAGAAUAGAAAUAACAGGAAACUAACACAUGCACACAUUGAAAUCCAAAGUGAAAAAACAGACUGAAUACUAACAUGAAUAGACAGAUGUUGUGGACACAUCAAAACAUACUUGUGCAUCUCUAUCUAUGAAUGCUCUGCAAUAUAAUUUUUUUUAUAUGAAUAUUAUAAUGUAAUGCAUAACAACAUGCACUUAUCCCAAGUUCAUUACUGAGAUUUCUCUUGUCUGGCUUUUGUUUCUUGAAUUUGGUCUAACUUCUUAACAAUUAUAAGUUUAUAAAUUUUCUUUCUGGUCCCUCCAUGUGCCCAAUCCCUCUCAAGUGUAAAAGUGUAGAUUCAAGUCUAAGACUGAGAGUAUCCACUUCGUUUCAGUAUACCAAACUGAACCUGAACUUUCUAUCCAGUCUACCUCUCCCACCACCAUGUAUUAGGAACUCAGAAUGUAAUGGUGUUUCCUAUUUCCUAAACGACAGAAGUCAUCAUUUGUCAAUCAUGGGAGCAAAGUACCCAACAACAGCAAAGGCGCAGACCACUUGCCACUGAAUAUCCUUUUCAAUUUAAGCACAAUAGGUGAAAGUGAUUUGAGCCUCAGUGAAUUUCAUUCAAAUAAUUACGACUUUUUUGUAGUAAUAAGUAUACGUAUUUAAUUGUUAAGGUUCAGCUAAAACUUAAUCGGGAAAAGAAAUUUGACUACUUGUAGAAUCACGCAACUAGUCAUUAAAUGACAGAGACAUUGAUAGUGACAGAGACUGUUCAUUGAUAAUUAUACUAGACCAGGAAUUCAAAAGCAUGUGAGCCCUUAUUUGUCAUUGUUAAUAGCAACAGACUAAAAAUCAUUACAAAACUGGCCACAGAUAGCAAAAGGCACCAUGAUUACUUAAGAACAGAAUUAACCAGUUCCAUUUAUAUGUUGAAGGACAUAGACAAACCAUUUUUCUUGUAGGUGUCUGAUUGGCUUGCCUUAUACUUUGCAUGGAAAAAACACGCGACCUGCGCAAAAAUACAGUUUUAUUAUUUACCAUACUUAUAGACAGGAAGGUUUCACCUGGCUUCUUUUAUUUAGAAACAAGUAUACAGAAACUCACCGAGAAGUGACACUUCGCUGAUGGCACCCAGAGAUUAGAACUGCCAGUGUCAAAAAUCACAGUGAACUUCUGAGUGGGAGUACCAAUACUAAUCUCACCAAAGUACUGAGCAUCCAUGUAGUUUUUUAAUGCUACAAUAUCAGUAUCUUCAGAGUCUCCAAGUUUACCACCGAGAUAAUACUUUCUAAUAGAGGCCUUAGAAUCAAGCCGCCAUGCAAGACGGUUGUUUUGAUCGUAUUUCAUUUUCUUUAGUCCAAUUCUAACCAACCCGUCAUUUGAUGCAGAAAAGACCAGCGGAAGCAAGAGGGACGAAAACAAGAUAGCAAAUGCAAUGGUUUUCAAUUUGGUUCCCAUGUUUACCUAUAACAACAUAUCAAAAAAUCAGAUUUUUUGAAUGAAAGGUAGUGAAACAGUCAAUUUAAUCACAUUUUCCACGAAUUCAAGUAUUACAUGUGCUGAUAGCAAAUUAAUAAUAUGAUCAUCCCUCACAAAUAAGGUUGUGUACGUAUUAUACUUCCUUAUCAAAAUAUCAACCUCCAAUCCAUUAAACAGAUUUCAUCCUUAAAUUAAAUAAACUAGAAUAUAUUUUUGAGGAGUUUAUCUUUAUGGUUCAAAAAAGUUCUAUUUGUGGUGAUUUCAUCUCUGAAAUAGGUGAACUAGACACAUGAUUUUCUAUUCGUAAAUCAAACUGAAGGAAAUUAAACUCCGCAAGCUUCACAGUACACCUAAGAUAAACUAAUCAUACAC